rnacentral:lncRNA from 1 species
GGGCAAAAGAGUUCCAAUAAGUUUGUGCUCAAAGAAUAUGCUAGGUAGAUCCCUUUCUAGUGCGAGCCUACAAAAAGACUAUUUCUCUCCCAUGUUGAUCAUCCAUUACAUCUUGCAGUACCAUCACCCCCGAGCUAGCCUCAUUUCUCAUGGCUUUCAUCUGCUGUUCGUCAAUCCACUGCAUGGCCACUGGUUGCUGGCGAAGCCAUGGAUGAUCUUCAACCGCAGGGUGGUUGUGCCUGAAAGCCAACAGCGCAGAGGGCAACCUAGCAUCUUUGGCAGAGUCUUGUAUGUCUCCUUGUAUCGGUUAUGGAUUAUACUGCAGCUUCUCCUGAGUUCAUCUACUGUUGUCAACUUCUAUAUUGCAAAGCAAUGACCACUUGUUUGAAGACUCACUAUAUUGCCUGCUAUUGUUCUUUGCUAUGUGUUACUUUGUUGCAUGCUCACAAUGGUGAGUACAAAAAGCUCAUAAGCUGCGUUAUGUCGUUAUCUCUAGUCAAGUGAGCAUUCUAUUUCUUAAUUUUUAGUUUGAUGAGACAUUUGAGUUUUCGCUGAUACCCCUAUGAAAUUUAAAAGGAUGCGGUAUGCCUACCGUUACAUGGUGAAAAAAAUCCCAUGAGCUACCUUAUCUCUAGUCAAGUGAGCAUUCUAUUUUUUAACUUUUAGUCUGAUGAAAGGCAUCUGAGUUUUUGGCUUUUCGCAGAUAUUGUUAUGAAAAUUAAAAGGAUGCAGUAUGUCUGCCGUUACAUUGAAAGCACUCUAAGAAAACGUGGCAAUUCGGGAGAACGAUUCCUCCAAGUCUUAAUUCCAUUCAUGUUUACUUUCUAAAUUUUAUCCAAAUCAGGCAAUCUCCCAUCGUGCUAUUAAAGGAACAGAUUAGAAACAAAUUUAGGCUCAGUCUCACACUCUCAUGUCAUAGCAGUUGAAUUGGGCAAGGGCACAGGGCACUACAUAACACUAACAUUUUGGAAAUCCUAAGAGCAUAACAUAUAUCACAUCCAGCUAGAUCUAGCAACUGCUCAUUCAUUCGCACUACAUUUUCCGCUUUACAAGUUUGCAAUUCACCAAGACGGAGAGGAAUUUAAUCAUUCACCCAAAACAACAACCAGAUAACCAAACUGACCUUCUUGACGGGAAGAACACAAAUUGUCCUGCCGACUACUCCGCCCUCUCCUUGGAGAACUGGGAGAUGUCGCUGUGCUUGAAAAAAUCCUCCCAGUUCCUCCCAUCGAAUUUCCUGUACUCGACAUGCUUCAGGGUGCCGGGGUCGACGCAGGUCACGGUGACGGCCACGCCGUCCGGGUUGGACCUCGGGGAGUAGAAGGAGGUGAUGCCGCAGACCUUGCAGAAGGUGUGCUUGGCCGUAUGCGUGCCGAAGGUGUAGGUGGUGAUGAACUCCUCGGAGCCGGCCUGCAGAUUGAACUUGGCGGUGGGGACGAUGAUGUGGGUGUUCCCGCGCAUGGAGCAGUCGGAGCAGUUGCAGAUCCACGCCACGACGCUCGCCGGGGCCUCGACCUGCCACCGCACGCGUCGGCAGUGGCAACCACCGCUGUGGACGACGACCGCCUCAGAGGCCAUGAAGAUCCGCGAGCAGGAGAGCAGAAGCUUGAGACUCAGUUCUUGCAGUUGACUCCGUAGUCCCGGUCCAUAUCCCCGCACCGCAGCCCCGCUCAGACUUAGGAUCACGAUUACAGCUCUGUACCAUUUCAGUAGGUCUAAUUAUUCCUAUAUAAAUUUCUCUCUUUUUUUUUCAGCGUACAAGUGGAGUUUCAAUUUCAAAAUCUUACAAGGUGAUUUUUUUUUACAAAAGUAUAGGUUGUUCCUACCAUUUCAUUGCAAGACAUGUGAUUGGAUAUGAUAAGAUGAAAUGAAACUUUUUAGCCCCUAAUGACAGCUUCAUCAGAUUUCAUACUCUUGGAAACAGUGCAGUUUCAUUCACAUGAAACUCCUUCCAUCUCUCUUCAUAAUUACCCUGCCAUAUCAUCACAUGAUGAUGUGUCAUUGUAUUUAGUGUGCAUGAAAUCUCAUGAAAUUUGCACUGGGACUACCCUAAUAUCAUGCUCUAUGUUUAAAAAUAUAUAUUAUAAUUUUUUACAAUUACUUUAAUGUAAACAUAUAUCUCUAAGUCAAUUUCAUAAUGAAAAUAAUCACAAAAAUUAUUAAUAUAUUUUUAACAUAAAUAUUACUUAAUACUUAACUUUUACACGAAGUAACAAUAAAGAAAAAUCAACUGGGUCAAUCAAAAUAGUUAAUGAAAAUAAUAUAAAUUUUGCUUAAGAGGUUAAGCAUGAUAAAAUGAUCAAAUUGACAAGGUAAUAAAAUGGACUUUUUGUCUAAUACAAAUAACAAAUUAGCUAAAAAUCUUAGAUGGCAACAUAAACUGUUUGAGCACUCCAUAAGGCUUGUAUCCAAACAGGUAACCACAAGGCGUCGCUAAGAACGGAUCAUGAGUGCAUCCGUCCGUAAGCGAAGGGUGUGUAUGUGCCCGUAGUUCGGUGGCUUCAGUCUGGUGUAAUGUAAACACAUCCAUUUAUUCUCAGUUUUCCACACAAAUUUCACUAAUAACCGGUAACCGCUGCACAAGCACAACUUAACAAUCCACAAACACAAAAAGAGGCCAGAAUUUAUUCAUGCACUAGGCACAUCGCCACAUCCACGCCGAAAUUAACCUGAGCAGUGACCACUCUACUUCUCCGCCGCCUUCGCCUUCGCCUGGUUCUCGAACCACUCCUCCCAAUUCCUCCCGUCGGCCUUCCGGUACUCGACGUGUCUGAGCGUGCCGGGAUCCACGCAUGCCACAGUGACGGCGACGCCGUCCGGGUUGGACCUCGGGGUGUAGAAGGAGGUGAUGCCGCAGACCCUGCAGAAGGUGUGCUUGGCCGUGUGCGUGCCGAAGGUGUAGGUGGUGAUGAACUCAUCGGAGCCGGCCUGUAGAUUGAACUUGGAGGCCGGGACUACGGUGUGGGUGUUCCCGCGCAUGGAGCAGUUGGAGCAGUUGCAGACCCACGCCACGACGCUCGCGGGGGCCUCGACGCGCCACCGCACGCGGCGGCAGUGGCACCCGCCGGCGUGCACGACGACCUCCUCAGCCUUGGUGGGGACGGAGCUACUCAUCUUGUAUUUGUGGCACCCCGCGCUGCUUGCUCUGGUGACUUUAAAAGAAGAUCUGGCACGGCUUGUGUAGCAGAGAGAGGAGCCGGCGGUGGGACUAAGCGUGGAAAUCCUCGCAAUCCGGGUGGCAGGGUGGGGUAGGUAGCCGCCGAGCUAGCUGCCAGUAGCUGGUGCCACGCGCUGGCCGCCAGUGAGCGGUGACCGCUUGGGAAGACGAUUGAUUAGACAGACACGAACACGACAAAGGAGAAAAACGCCGGGGGGCAUGGGCUGAGGCUGAUAGGCCCAUAUGGCCGUUGACUUGUUGCCCGGACAAUCCAGUUAUCUCGCUGUGUAGGCCACCGAUUUGCAAGAAGGUGCGACCGGCCCACGGCCCAUCCACCCAACGGCGUGGGCGGAGCGAGGUGGCCAGUGCCGGAUGGCACUCUUUAGAGCCUAUUUAGGACUGCUCCACUCCAGAUUUUGUAGCUCCACUCCGGCUUCAUGUUGCUAAAUACCUCCAACUCCAUCUAUAACAACUCCAAAAAAACGUGGAUCUGGGGGCAACUUCAAUAUUUUCCUGGAGCUCCUCAAAGGGUGCUCCAAAAAAUAAUUUUCAUACUUUCUCUUGGAGUUGGGUGAAAAUUACCCACCAAUGCCACCCUUUACACGGUAAUGUUUCGGAAAAAAAAACAUCGGCGCUUUCUGUUCCGCGAGACCGCGUCUCAUCUCGCGACUGUUCGUUUCCGCGCCACCGCCCCUCGCGUUUGCGCCGCCGAUCGCGAUUCUGCCGCCGACCCUCGUGCCUGACAUGCCAAUCCUCCACGAUGCGCCUGAUACUCCUCCGCCGCCGCUGCCAUCUCCCCUCCGGCGCCCGUUCCAUCCGUCGCUGCCCAUGGCCGAGCUCGGCCUGAACGAUGGCGCCCAAGCACUAGGCGCCGAUGAGUUGGAGGCGACCAACGUCCUAGCCGGCAGCCUAGUUGAGGGCGGGCGAGGCCUCACAGGGGGCGGCUGUGGCUUGGCCGUGACGAUCGGUUCCCUGGAGAUCGGACCUGAAGAAGACUUUGCCUUGGCCGUCCUGGCCGGCGGCGGUCCUAUCCUGGGGGCGGGCAGCCGUGGCUUGGGCGCGGCCGGCCAUGUUGUGGGGGCGGGCGGCCGUGCUCUGUCCGGUGGUGGCCGUGGCUAUGCCACGACCAGCAAUCCCUUAGUAGGUGGUGAACCUGAAGACAAUGGCGGCAGUCGUGUCCUGGGAACUGGCGGGCGUGGUUUGGGUGCGGCCGGCCGUGGCCUGAUCGGUGGCGGUCGUGCCCAUGCCAGCAGCAGGCAGCCCCUGACCGGUGAUGAGCCUGACCUCAAAGAGGUCAUGGCCGGAGGCCUGGCCGGGUUCGGCCGUGGCCAGGGGGUGGGUGGCCGUGGCCUGGCCAAAGGUGCCCGUGUCUUGUGCAGGGGCAGCCACACCCUAGCGGGGGUUGACCCCGACCUUGAAGAGGCCGUUCUUGGUGGCGAAGAUGCAAGUGUCGGCCAUGGUCGUGGGAAGAAGCAGCUAGGAAGAGGCCGGGGCCAAGGACAGAGCAAGAAACCCUCCAAGGCAACUAAGAAGAAUGAAGAAGAGGAGGUAUGUGAAUUAUCCUUUAUCCUUGAUGUAUGUUUCAUCUACGUUGAUACAAAUAAUUAAACAUUGACAAGAUGAAGUAUCAGUGUACAUAAUCAAAUAGCAUGAACAAUGUAAAGUCACGCUAGAUUGAAAUAAGAGUGUAGAUUCCUUCAUGGAUCUUCUGAUUGUUACACUAGCAUUUAUGUUUGCAUUGUAUUGGCUCAUGGUCUGAAUCUAUAACGUACAUGAUCAGUAGAAAGUAAUGUAUUGACCAGAAUAAUAAGAAGUUUGUAUUGGCAUGAAAGAAGAUGAGUUAUUGGUGUAUACAUACCUACAUGAUCUGUAGAAUGUGAUGUUGUAAAUACAUGUAUAUAUAAUGCUCAGGGAGAUAUGAUGGACUGGACCGACGCAUACACUUCGAUCGUUUGUAACUUGUUUGCAGAACAAGUUAAGAAAGGGAAUAGACCAAAUACACAUUUGAACUCUGUAGGCUAUACCGAAGUGUCAAAUAGGUUUUAUCAGAUGACAGGAAUUUAUCUUAGCAAGAUGCAACUGAAAAACAAGUGGGAUAAGUUGAAGACAAAAUUAUCAGCAUGGAAUAGAUUAAUGAAGAGGCAAACAGGAACAGGUUGGGACAGAAUAAAGGGUGUGAUUGACAUGGACGAUGAGUGGUGGAGAAGGACAAGGAAGGUGAGGAUGUACUUUUUAAAAAAAUUUAAUGAAUCAUUCAUACUCCUUACUCACUCAUUGCUAACACUAUUUUCUUAUCUUUUUUUCACUACAGGACAAAAUCUCUGCAAAAUGUGGAUGAUUUGACGGUUAUGUUUGGUGACAUCAUUAAUGAUGAAACAGAUCAUUGGAACCCUAUGACUUCGAACCCUAUCAUACCCCAAAAUGAUGAGACUCCUAUUGAUGUAGACAUUGAUGUUGGUGAGAACCUUGAUGGUGGUGGGGAUGAUAUUCAUGUGUACCCAACAGAAGAAGACAAUGAAGGUGCUACUAUGAAUGACAUUGAGGAGGUGUCUCCAUCCAUUGGCAAUGGAAAAAGAAGAUCGAGGGUUAUCAUAGACAAACAAAAGAAAGCAAAAAUAGGAACCGCACUUGUCAUUCAGGAAAAAUUGAGUGAGAUAGCUGAACAAGCCAAGGCUUUCACAUCAAAGAAGGUUGGCGAAGUUACUGUUGAACAAGUAAUGGACCUUAUUUUGGACUGUGGAGCGGGGUAUGGUGCUGAUGAGCAUUUCAUUGCCACUGAGUUGUUUGUGAAGAAAGAUCAAAAGGACAUGUUCAUGACCUUUCCCACUAAGGACAUUAGAUUCGGUUAGCUUACGAGGAAAUUCAACGCUAAAUACGGGAAUUGAAGACUAUCAUUUGUGUUGUCGGUCGUCCUUUUCAUUAUUUUCGAUUGUUUGGACACCAUUUUUAUGUUAUUUUAUUAAUAUCACUUGAACUUUGUCAUCAUUGAACCUUUUGUAUUAAUGUCAGUUGAACAAUAAUGUAUUCAUGUCAUUUUGUUUCAUGUCUAUGUCCUGUCUAGUCAAAAUAUAUUCAUGUCAUUUUUUUUCAUGUCAAAUUGCAGGUGUCUGAGAGUGAGAGUCAUAGUAGUGAGGAGAGUGAGCAGUUUUGGAGUUUAGUUCUUGGUGGUGCUCAAGUAGCUCAAAGUUACGUCAAUCUUUAUCUAGAUUAAAACCCACCAAGAAUAUCAAAUCUUAGUGGCAUGGGAUGGUUGAUGGAGACAAUAAGAAAUGCGGGAGAAUGCCAUAGACAACUUCAUAUGAAUUAGAAUAUAUUUAUGGAUCUUCAUGAUUUAUUGGUGGGAAGGUAUGAAGUUAAAUCUUCCAUGCAUAUGAACACACUUGAGAUGUUGGCCAUUUUAUUAUACACUUUGGGUGGAAAUGAGUCAAAUAGGAGAGCUUAAAAUAGAUUCAACCAUUCUGGUGAAACAAUAAGUAGGAAAUUUGAUGAGUUCUUAUUAUGUUUGAUCGCUAUGGCAAAAAAUUUCAUUAGAACAAAAAAAUCCAAACUUCCCUACUGUCCAUAAAAGGAUAAGAGAGGACAAACGUGCAUAUCCACACUUUAAAGAUUGCAUAGGUGCUCUUGAUGGCACUCGUAUCCGUGUCGUACUGUCACCCGAGGAGAUGGUAAGGUAUAUUGCGAAAAUCGGAAUGGCAACCCAAAAUAAUUUUAUGUUUUGCUUGUCCCAAUGCUGAACAAAUAAUAACUUGUAUUACCUUCUCAUUUUGCAUGCACAUACUAUGUUGUUAAAGCGGGUUAUCCUAAUCGCCCUGGGUCUCCUUACAAGGGUGAAAGAUAUCAUUUACCCGAAUGGCAUAGGAGUAUGGAACCAAAGACUCCCGCUCCCACGGAAAGAUUCAAUCAUAUUCACUCAUUUAUUCGCAAUGUUAUUGAGCGAUCGUUUGGACUAUUAAAAAUGAAGUGACAAAUUCUCUACAAGAUGCCACCGUACCCUAUGUACAAGCAAAAGAUGAUUGUUGUGGCUACUAUGGUCCUUCACAAUUAUAUCCGUGAACAUGGAGGUGAAGACAUUGACUUUGAUCAGUUUGAUCGUGAUCCUAAUUACAUACCUACUAUCCCAGAAAGGUAUAACAAAUAUGCAGUUUCUCCCUUGGCGUUCGACCGGUCUACUUCGAAUGCCAAUGCUCCAACUAUAGAUGUAUUUCGUGAUGAGUCGGCCACCGCCAUUUCUCUUGCUUGGAACUAGGUAAUAUUGGUGUGAUGAAUUUUGUAAUUUCAUUUGGUGUCACACAGUUCAAAUUUUAAUUUUUUAUUGGAAUAUGAAGCUGUCCCUGUUCUCUAAUACGAAAAUUUUCCACGUGAAAAAAAGAACACGAGCAGUGCCGGAACGGCACAGCUACCUCACAAGCACGGUACUCACAUGCACGGUAGCGCAUGGAUUACUGUAGUGCGGUACUGUAGCGCGGAGAAAAACUCAUCCAAAGGGUAAAAAUGACUAUUCCCACUCGUUCCUACAAUUUCUAGAGCUGAAUUUGCAUCUGAAUUUGCAUCCAGUAACCAAACGGGUAUCUUGCUCCCUAUUUUUCUAGAGUUGGUAGGGUGGAGUUGAAAAAGGUAGAGUUGGUAAAAGCACCUACAAUUUUACCAUUCUUGCAUAAAUGAAGCAACAUAAUUGUCAUUUUUCUGACUUCGCGAGCCACGUAUUGUGCCAGCAUGGAUUGAGCAGGGAAAAUGACGUUGGUGUCCCUGCCCUCCUCACAUUGGGCAUAUUUUCCCCUGCAACAGACACGUGGGACCCGCACGUCGGGCUCAUCUUCAACCUCCCACCCGCACGUUCGUCCGUGCAGUGAGGUUGGGGGCGGCGACCGCUCGAGCCGCGCGCUCUGGGCGGCUCCGACGCGGCCGUCCCGGUCCCGGCCCGCCUGCCCAGUGCGGCACAGGCUCUCAUCAGCCCGCGACGAUCAUCUCCCUGCGCACGUGCUCCGGCAGCUGCAGCGUGAAGUGCUCGAGGCCGUAGCCGCGCGUGGUGAAGGAGUGGCCCGUGGAGUGCGACCACGGGACGAGCGGCGGCGUCAGCGACGGCCACCCCGACUGCGACCGCACCGCGCGGCGCUGGCUCCCGAUCCGCUCCAGCUCCAUCGCCUCCUCCCUCCUCCUCUUCCGUCGCCGACGUGAUCCGCGGCUGCAGCAGCGGCGAUGGAGUCCGCUCUGCCGCAGCAGCACCACCAGCAGCAGCCGGAGGCGCGGCCGCGACCGAUGCUCGCGGGAGGUGGGGCCGCCAAGAGCCGCCACCACGCGUACAGCCGCAAGGAGAAGUUGCUCACAAAAAUCCUCUGCUCCAUGUGAGCCUCCAGCAGCCUCGGCAUGCACGGUCCUGGUAAAUGGCGCGACUGCUGGCUGGAAUUGCGAACCUGCUGGCGCAGGCGGAGUUGGAUCGGAUUGGAACCCCGUCAGCGUCAGCUCGUGGAUUGAUUGGCUACGUCUUUCCUGCACGCUAGCUUUGGCCUCUGGGUGCUUUAGCGGUUGCCUGGUACCAGGUUGUUGAGCACGUGCGCGGCCCAGCUCAUCGUGUCCGAGCCUCCUGUAUUCUCCUGAGUUCCGCGAGGACGUGGAGUCCGUUGGGCUGGACGAAGCGGCCAAGAGAUGGGCAAUGGCUGAGAGGUUGGAGAUGAGCCUGAUGGGCGGGUCCCACAUGUUUGUGGCAGGAGAGAGGGGAAGAUAUUACCAACGUGAGGAGGGCAGGGGCACCACCGUGUCAUUUUCCCAGCUCAAUCCAUGCUGGCGCGAGGAUGUGACUCGUUAUGUCAUAAAAAUGAUAAUUCUGUUGCUUCGUUUAUGUAAGGAUGGCAAAAAUGUAGGUGCGAUGGCAACCGAAGGAGUCACGUUCGCAAGCAUGGCAAAUGGUUAAAAUAUUCCGCCCGCGCCAAGCCGCAACCGGCACGCCGGUCUGACACUCUGACUCGCUGUUGCCACCGCCAACGCCCGCCGCCCGCCUGCUCGCAGUUGCAGGACCAAUUAAGGGCCUGUUUGGAUACCACCUCAUAAACUUUAGGACACUCAUAAACUUUAGGAGCUAAAAAUUGGUACUCCUAAAAUUUAGGAGUGGGGUGUUUGGAUGGACUCAUAAUUUUUAGGAUGAUUGAGGGAAAAUGACUGUUGUACCCCUAAUUAAUGAGUAACUGCCGGUUACUUUCUACCGCCAGGGAUGCACUUUUGGCGCGAGCGAGCUGCCUUCGGCGCGGCGCGAGCGCGCGCUGCCUCUGGCGCGCAAGUGCUCCCUCUGGCGCACACGGGAUGCCUGCCUGGUUUUUUUUUCGUCCUUUUUUUUAUUUUGCCGGCCCUUUUGCUGGCGGCUUUGAGUAAAAAAUCGUAGUUGUCCAAAAAUACAACUCAAAAAUAUUUAGCACAGUCCAUCGUCAUUGUCAUUACAACUCAAAAAUACAAAACCUCUACAAUCUAUUGAACAAACCAUUAGCUAUACUUCACGAAAUUCAUUCAUAUUUUGAUCUCCGUCUGACUCUUCGAUAUUUCCGUCAUGUCCUUCAAUGCUUGAUUCUUCGGUCAAAGGAACAAAAUUUUCAUCACGAUCACACAUAUGGAAGGCCCUAUCCGCAUUAUCGUUCUCCCUAAUGAAAUUGUGAAGUGCCAUACAUGCUACUAUUAUUUUGCUUUGCUUUUCAAUUGGAAAACUUGGAAUUCCCAAUAAAAUCCUCCAUUUCAUCUUCAAAACUCCGAACGACCUCUCAAUAAGAUUUCUAAGUGAUGAAUGCGCGUAAUUAAAAGUCUCCUUCAUACCUCUCGGAUUUGGGCCACUCCGGAACUCAGGAAGGUGGUACUUCGUACCUUUGUAUGGUGCAAGAUACCCCGGGCGGUUAGGAUAUCCAGAGUCUACUAGAUAAAACUUCCCUACAAAUACAAAAGAGAAUAUGGUUAGCAAUAUUGGCAUAUAAUUUAUUUUCAAAAUAUUAUUGAGCAAAAUUGUACCUGGAGGAGGGUGUGGAUACUUGUCAGCAUAUUUAUUUAAGGCAUCACUGAAUACUCUCAUAUCAUGAACUGAUCCAGGCCAUCCACUAACAACAAAUGUGAAUCUCAUGUCGAAGUCACAAAUGGCAAGCACGUUCUGUGUGGGGUAUCCAUGUCUGCCCGUAUGCUGCACCACCUUAUUACUUGGUACCACAACUGGUACAUGAGUCCCAUCUAUAGCUCCUAUGCAAUUGUUGAAAUAUGGAGCAUACCUAGGAUUUCUCAACCUCUGGUGAAUUGUUGUAAACUGAGGGUCCUUUGGCCUAAUUAUAUCUACUACUAGCCUAAUAACACAUGACAAAACCAAAUCAAAUGUGCGGCUUAUUGUUUCCAAUGACCUUACAAACCGAUCCGCAACUUGUCUUAGUGAUUGGGGUGCACCAUUUAUCCAUAAGAAUAUAGCUAAAGCCUCCAUCGUUGACAUUCUUCUAGUUCCCCUCAAACCAUAAGACUCAACCAACAGGUCAUGAAGUUGGUGAAAUAAAGUGCAAGACAUCCUAAACAUGUUGUAGCAUGAGGUUGGAUUUGAUAGUGUCUCUUGCACCCAUUUUAUGCCUGGUACAGUAGGUACUCUAGGUGGCCCUUUGUGAUAGUAAGUGUCAUAGUACAUACCAAGCAUUAUUGAGGACUCCAUAAUCUCUCGAUUCCUCUUUCGACGUAUGAUUUCCAGCUCCAUGAACUUGCAUGCCAUAUUAAUGAAUUCAUCGUCAGAAUCUCCUUCACCAUCAUCCUAAUUCACCAUUAAAAAAACAGGCAUACAUUAGUCAAACAAAUUCUGCACAGUCACAUUAGUACUGCAGCCGAGCCAUGUUCACAAACUAAAAUCAAACAUGUUCGACAAAAUCAAAUAUUCCAGUACUCAAACAGCCACAUUUUGAAACAACCACAUAUAGAAACAACCACAAAUUUAAACAUGUCACAUGAUCACAACUUGAAACAGGCACAUAUUCAAGUUCUAGCAGCCGAAAUAACAUGUUCAGAAACCAACAAUUCAAGGUUCAAACAACCACAAAUCUAUACUACUAAAUUCUAAUCUAAGUUCUCCUUCUUGCACCAUCUUUUCAAGAAAGCCAUCCUAGCCUCUGCAUCAUCAAGGUUGCAGAAGAAUUCUCUGUUGAAUUUAUCCUUGCAUAUGUCCCAACAAGCAAACAUUUCAGCACUAUCCUUCCUUGCACCACAUUCUACUGCUAAUUGUUGGCAUCUCUUAACUUCAUCUGCCACUGAAUUGGUGUUCAUCUUCUGCCUCUUAUCUUCUGUGAAUUUGACAAUUGAUGCACCAACAUUCCUGAAAAUACUAUGGGUCACAUCAUCCUUCUCUGAUUGCCUGUUGAAGUAAUUUGUCACAGCAGUGAUCAUUGGGCUUCUAGAUUUUUUUGGAGGGCUAGUAGCAGUUGAUUUGGUGCUUGCAUUGGACCUCUUCCUGGUGUUUGAGCUCUUAGGGCUGUCAUAGAAAGAGGCAGGUUCACCAUCACAGUCCUCUCCACCAACUGAAGGGUCUCCAAUGUCAUCAUCUUCACCAUCUUCUUCUUCUUCCUCCUCCACUUCUGGAAUGUAUGCUGUGCUUCCAUCAACUACAGUUUCAUGAAACAUUUCUUCCAACUGAUCUAAGUACUCUGGAGCACCAUGCUGCAACUUCCUCAAAUCAGGACGUUUCUGCAAGUGACAUGUCAUUCUAAGUCAGGAGCACUACAUCCUGGAAAUUAAAGGGUUAGUACAAAAUUUAUGUCUCACCUGUGUGUGUAUAUCCCACCACCAAUUUGGAGCUAGCACUGUCCCAUCAGCAUUUCUACCUAGACCUAAUUCCCUCUGUAGGCCUUUCCAAAAGGUAUACAACCUUUUUAAUUGAUCUCUUCUAUUCCUAAGCUGCCCAAAAUCAUGCUUCAAACCAGUAGCCAUGUAGUACUUUUUCUGAAUUAUCUUCAACCCUCUAGUGGACAUGUUGCCUUUGGGACAGUUUCCUUCUCUAAUUUGCUCAACUGACAAAUCACAGAAUAUUCCAGUAUUCCUUUCUGUCCACUGUGCUUUGUCAUUUUUAAUCUAUUGGAUAAAGAACAGUGAAUUUCCAGGCAACACACAAAAAGCAAUCAACAAAUACAUGUCACUGACUCAGGAACUAUGUAAUGAAUUUAUCUAGACAUAAUACAUGAAGGCACUAAUUCAUGAAGCAACAUUUUCAGGAACUCACAAAUUCAACAUCUAACAAUUUCAGCAUGUCACAAUGGGAAUAAGUCACAGAUUCAUGAAGCCACUAAUUCAUCUAGCCACUAAUUCAUCUAGCCACUAAUGCAUGAAGCUCUGUCAUGCAUCUAGUCACAAUUCAAUCCAUUCCUGAAAAUUUCAGAACAACUUCCACAGCUAAUUCAUACUAUCAACUUCCACAGCUAAUUUCAUUCCCAAUUUCAGAACAACUAAUUCUAAAUGGACCCUAAAUUCAUACUAUAAAGUCACAGAUUUUACCUGUGAGGCAGGAAACACAACUUCGACAGCUGCAUCAUCAACAACAUUGUGUUCAUAUGCAUCAAAAGCAUCUUUUGGAGGGCCUGAACUUCCUCCACCACGAGCACCACCUCGACGGCCUCUUCCACGACUUGCACUGCUAGAACCACCACCGCGAAACAAAGAUCUUGCACGGCCUACUCCACCUCUGCUACCAGGCCCCCUGCUGCCGCCCGCCAUCCUGCUGCCGCCUGCACCUUGACUGCAGCCGGCCGCCUUGCUGCCGCUAGGUCCUAUGGUGUCGCCGGCACCUUUGCUGCCGCCGGCCGCUCUGCUCCCGCCGGCCCCUUUGCUGCCCCCACCACCACGUCGAGCCGCGGGUAAGCCAAGAGUACGGCUACCGCGGCCCUGGGGAACCUCAUCUCCCCGAAGGUACUCUGAGUAUAUGCUCAGAUCUGCGUACUCCUCAGCCUGGGAGUUGAGGUUCAAGUUCUCCAAGCCGUGACGGGGGGCACUGGAAGACUCGGACUGAGAGAAAAAAUCGAUUUGGCAGGGGGGAAUUUGUGGAUCGGGCUGGGGGAACAAAUCCUCCAAUCCGUCGUCGCCGUUGCCCGCCAUUAGGAAACGACGGAACUCAAGAACGGCGGAGGACUGGAGGGGUUGAGGAAACCCGGGAUCUUGUGGGGAUGGCGGCGGGGAAAUAGGGAUGAGGCGGCGAGGGAACCAGGCGGCGGGGAAAUGGGGAGGACGCGGCGGGGAACUGGGGAGGAGGCGUCAGGCAAAUGGGAACGAGGCGCCGAGGGAAGGAGGCGGCGGCGAAAUGGGGAGGAGGCGGGGAAAUGGAGACGAGGCGGCGGCCAAAUGGGGAGGAGGCGGCGAGGGAAGGAGGCGGCGGCGACCGGAGGAGGCGACGGCCGGAUGAGAUGGCGGCGGGGAAAGGUGGACGAGGCGGCGAGAGUAGGAGGUGGCGGCCAAGGGAGGAGAGGGCGGCAGCGUAGAUCCGGCCUCGGAAGGGGAUGGCGGCGGCGGAAGAAGUACGGGGAGGGCGGAGGGAGGAGGAGGCAGCGGCGGAGGGAGGAGGAGGCGGCGCAGAUGCGCUGUGCGGGAGGAGGAGGCGGCGCAGAUGGGCAGUGCGGGAGAAGAGCGGGGGAGGAUAGGGUGCGACCGUGCAUCCGUGGAGAGAGAAGGGGAGGGGUAGGAGGGGUAAAGGUUGGGUUGGGGACCACUUUUAUGAGAAAAAUGAAAGUUUAUGAUGGUUUGAUCCUCCUAAUGAAAACAGCACCCCUAAAGUUUAUGAAUACACUUUUAUGACACCAGUUUGGAUGCACAAGUUCUAAAAAUGACCUAAAAGUGAAGUCCUAAAGUUUACGAUGUGGUAUCCAAACAGGCCCUAAUCACCAGUCCCAAACACGCACAGGCAUCUCGGCACCACCGAAGCCUCGAGCCCGCCCCCCCUCCCCAACCCCCACCCGUGGCCUGCGCCGCGCCGCGGCGACCGGCCAUGUCCAUCGACUACCUCGUGCUAGGUACGCGGCGCCCGCCUCUAACACCGUUCGGGUGGAUGCAGGGGCGGGUCAGGAUGUGGGGAAGAGCUGAGUGGUGGCGACCAUCGGUGGGCGGCGCGUCAUGUUUGACUGCGGCGUGCACUUGUCCUACAAGGGCCGGCGCAGCUACCCGGAAUUCGACCGGGUCCUCGCGGCCUCCGGGGCCACCGACUUCACCACCGCCAUCUCCUGCGUCGUCAUCGCCCACUCGUGAGUGUGGCAUUUUCCUCCUCCCUCCCCUGGCGGUUUUCCGUAGGCUGCUAAGCUUCCCCUUAAUUUGCAGCCAUUUGGAUCAUAUCGGGGCGCUUCCCUACUUCACCGAGUUCUGCGGGUACCAUGGCCCCAUCUACAUGACGGUGAGCGCAGACUACUUUGUAAUCGUUGUUUGGAUUAUAGCUAGAACAAUUGUUUUGAUUUUGAUUCAAGUAAAUUGGGAUUCACCUUAGUUCAGUUUUAUUCCCCCCUUCUUUUGGUCAGCAAACUAGUCAGCUACCAAUUAAUAAUGUUGUGAGCUCACAAAAGUCACUGUUAAGUGCUUGCUGGUAAGUCCUUAUGUUAGAUGUCUUUGUUGCUUAUGAGCUGAAGACCCUGGGACAUCGUGAGUUGGUUUUGGUAGAUUUGAUGAUUUUUGUCAAAUUUCACCAAGGAAAUUAUCUUAAACUGAAGUAUCCUUCACUAUUAGCUCAUAUGCUUGGACUGGUCUCUUCUUUGGUCUCUCCUGUUCUUGUACCAAGGAUUUAUAUCUCUUCAUGAGUGAUCUUCCAUAACUUCUUUCAUGGUGCCUCUCAAACAGUACCCAACAAAGGCUUUAGCUCCAAUGAUACUGGAAGAUUUUCGGAAAGUAAUGGUUGUUCAGCAAUGGGAGGAAGGGCAAUAUAGUUAUGAGGAUAUUCUCAGGUGUAUGAAGAAAGGUAACCUUAAUUAAGGCUGGGAUUUCUAUCAUUGGUGUAGUUAAAAAGUUCUAGCAAGAAGCAGACUGUUCAAGUAUGAUAGUGCUAUUUUCCUUAUAUUUUGACCUUGCAGUUAUACCAUUGGACCUGAAGCAGACUGUUCAAGUAGAUUAGGACCUUGUGAUCCGUGCCUAUUAUGCUGGACAUGUAUGCUUCUUUAUUGUCUCAUGUUCUGUUUAUUGUACUUUAGAUUAUUUGAGUUGAAGUAUUGAUUUAGUUCUCCACUUUCUAAUCUAGUAAAACCGUCAUUCCAAAUUCAAGGUCCUAGGGGCUGUCAUGAUUUAUGCAAAAGUUGGAGAUGCUGCUAGGUCUACACUGGAGAUUACAAUAUGACAUGAGAUAGACAUCUUGGUGCAGCGCAAAUUGAUCGUCUAAAAUUGGAUCUUUUGAUAACAGAGUAUAGUCCAAACUCCAAUUAUUAGCAUAUUUCCUAUUUGAUUGUUGCCUGAUUUUUGAUUAAGUAUUGUGAAUCAUGCUGCAAUUUCUUAUACGUUAGCACUACAUUAGAGUAUGUUUGUUCUUUUUUUAAAAAAAAAUCAUUAUGUGGUUGCCUUGUUGAUAUCAGAUCACAGGAACAGGUUUCCAGAUCGGUACCCAUCUGUGGACCAUUGUCCCUGUUGCUAGCUAAAUUGUUCACCUGAAAAUCAUUUGGAAUAUAGCUGUAAUAACUAUAUUUAUUACUUAUUACGUUGUUGAAUUCAGUUUCUGGUGUUAAAACGAUGAUUUGCAUUUGUUUUAUGGUACAACACGUGUGGUUUCUCAAUGUUUUUAAUCAUGUUAAUGAGAUUAAGAGCACAAUGGUGUGGAUUCUUUUUUUUUUCUAUGUAUACUAUUAAGUAUAUAGUUGUUUUUUUUCUUUCUUCACUUCUGCAGAUCCACAUAUGCUGAAACUACACGUGAUUCAAGGCGUGCUCGAGAGAGUGAAUUCUUACAAGCGGUAUGUAAACGGCAAACCUGACUUUCCAUUAUGCCGAUACACUUGGUUUUGUAGAUUUAGUUGCAUUUAUUAUUUUAACUGUUGUGUAGAUUUUGUAUUUGCAUGCUUAAUUACUUUUCUUCUAGCACAAUACCAUCCAAGAAGUUAAUUUUCACCAAAUUAAGUGCAAUUUGUAAUUUGUCAUAGGAUACAUCUUUGUUUUUAUCUGACACCUUAGACCACAAAAUAUUCAUCUUGACUGUACUAUACAGUUAUUCUGUGAAUCUGCGCAUCAUGCUUUUUUUGGAGGAAGUUGAGAGGGGUGAACCCUACCUAUUUUCAUUAAAACACAUACAUAGAAUUUGUCUACACUACUUUACUUCCAUCCCUUAACUAUGUAUUUUCUAUAGGUCCAUAAAUGUGUUUCUGGAGGCGGUAAAGUUCUAAUUCCAUUAUUUUCUGUGGGAAGAGCUCAGGUACUCUAGUUAUCUCUAUAAUUUGAGGGAUAUAAAGUGAUGAUGAACUAUUAUCACUGUUUCACUUAUUGAUCAAGUCCCUUCUAACAAUACUGUCACCUGGGGCACACUGUUUUGAAUUUUCUUAAAUAGAGUAUCCAUUUAGGAUUGACACAGUCCUAUUAUGUAUCUCAGGAGCUAUGCAUGUUACUCUAUGACUAUUGGGAGAGAAUGAACUGGAAGAUUCCUAUGUAUGUCAACUUUUGUUAAAUUUUAACUUGAUUUUAUGUAUUUUCUGCUUUGAUGACGUCAUGUUUGUCCUGUAGGUUUAACCGUACAAUCUAACGUGUACUACAAGAUGCUUAUUGGAUGGACUAGUCAGAAGAUCAAAGACAGCUACAGAGUGCAUAACCCCUUUGACUUCAAGCAUGGUAUGAACUAUGGUUCAGGUCUUUAAAAGCUAUACUCUGUUCAAUCCUAUGCAGACUAAAGAGGAGAAAGAAAAUUCAAACAGUUAGACCUGUGUGCUUUUACUCAUUUUUGUUUUUUUAAGGAUGGAUAUUUAGUUUACCAUGGUGGCAACCUUAGUUUAAUCAUGAGACAUUCAAUGUUUCAUUUAAUCUUAAAAACUCGACCGGCGAGGGAAUGUUUCAUUUAAUCUUACAUAGUUAUAUCAGAAUAACAUUAUUUUUUUUCCCACAUUGCAGUUUGUCACUUUGAGCGUUCCUUCACUGACAACCCUGGUCCAUGUGUACUUUUUGCAACUCCUGGUAUGAUCAGUACCGGUGGUGGAUUUUCUCAUGAGGUGUUUAAAAAAUGGGCGCUGUCAGAAAAAAAUCUGGUUACACUUGCAGGGUAUAUCCCUUAGCUUUCUUAUUUCUUCCAUAUUUUUCUGAUUUUAUUAGAAACUAUAUCUUUUUCUCAUAAAAUCGUUCUCGUUCAUGCUGAUGAACUGUAUCCAACAUGUUGUGCUAACUAUAUUAUGUUCUGAUGCCACCUUUUUUUUCCUGAUGGAGGUAUUGUGCUCCCAGAAGCAUUGGUCAUAAGUUGAUGUCUGGCAAACCUGAAAAGAUUGAUUUAGAGGACACCCAUAUUGAUGUCAGAUGUCAGGUUGCUCUUCAAUUCAGUUUAUACUUUUUGAAAUAUUGUAAAUUUUUUAAAUAAUAAUGAAGGAGGGGGUAAAAAAGGCCAAUGCACUUUGUCUAAACGAGCGAUUUUCUCAUUCGAUGGUAAUGUUUUGUUAGCCAGGGAAAAACUUACCCAUUCACUAUAUCAUUUCAGAUGUUCAACAUAAUUGCUCUAUAGAGGACAGACAUAGUCAAAGGCUUGGGCUUUUUGCGGAAGUUCAUUGGCAUCUGUUGUUUCUCACAUGCAUGUUACUGUCCCAUUAAUAUCCAUUUAUCUUAUCUGAUUCUCUGAAUUAUUUGAAUUUGGGUAGCCAACUUCUCCAUCUAUUUUCACUUCUCGUAUGCUAUCACUUGACACUGCGUUCUUUUCCUUUGCAUGCCAGGUCCAUCAACUAGCAUUCAGUCCGCACACUGACUCCAUAGGGAUCAUGGACCUUAUAGAGUUCCUUUCACCCAAACAUGUAAUUCUCGUUCAUGGUGAAAAGCCUUUGAUGGCUUUCCUGAAGGAGAGGGUCGAAUCUGAAUUGGGGAUGCCAUGCUAUUACCCAGCUAACAACGAGGCCGUCUCCAUUCUGACAACCCAGAACCACAAAAUUAGUGCCACAGAAAGGUUCAUUACAAGCUGUGCUGGUGAGCAAACUGAAGACAAUCUGCGAAAGCGGAAGCUAAUUUGUGGAAGCAAUAUUUCAGAUGCCAAUGGCGAUCGAAAGCUAGCUGAGGGUAUCCUUCUGAUGGAGAAGAACAAGGCUUCGAAAAUUCUGUGCGAGGACGAGCUUGUUCAGGUGCUGGGCAUGGAGCAGCACAUUGUCCAGUAUGAACCAAUGGUCUCCUCCAGAAUUGCAGCAGCUGGCGAGUUGGAAUUGCAGCAGCUAGCAGGCCGAGGCCAGGGAAUGCAGCCGAUUUAGGGUGGGAAGGAAAAUGAAUGAAAUUGUACAUGCUGAGAUUCUGGCCGUGCUUCCUUUUCUUUUCUGCAAAUGAUUAGACCGUUGUACAGAGCUAUAGAUUCUGUAAGACAAAUGCGUAUAUUACCCUGACAAUUCAAUGGUUAGAUUAAAAGUUUAAAUGUGACCUCUUGUUGCUUGACCCACCUUGUUCAUGCAUGAGGUAUAUUGGUAUAAUAAUGAUGGAUGAGAUAUAAUGAUGGCGCGAGGGGUUGGAGGAAAAUGGGUACUAGUUCUUCGUUUCUUCGUUUUAAACUGCCGUAGGUUUGCAAGGCCAACUCACUGCAGGAAAAACAAAUCAGAAGUGCCGAGCAAAAACGCAGGACACAAGGAGUGGUCACAGGGUGGACAUUGGUUGGGAUGAGGUAAUACCCGUCCAGCAACAUAAAAGUAACAACACUUGCCCGGAGCUCAGUACCUCCCAAACAAUGAGUCAAUGACACAACCCAAAUAUGAUUCGCAAACAACCUGAAGCCCGCACGCUAGAAUUUUAGUGAGGUGACUUAAUCAAUGGUUUACUAAUCAUGUCUUCGAUCUUGAGGCUCUCAGGUGGUGACAACCCAAACAACACAAAUACGAUUGAGUAUUUGGGUGGUUGCCUGGUUGGUCAGAGUGAUUCAAUGCAGGGAGUAGGAAAACAUUUGCAAAAGCUCACUACAUACACUUGCAACAAAGAAACUGUAAUGCAAAUAUACCUCUCAACCUGUAAUAGUAACAUGGGGAUGACGCUACAAACAAAUGCAUUUCAUCCAAAGAUAAACAUGCACAUUACUCCCUCUGAUCACAAUCAGCAAACAAAACAAAAUCAACAAAAUCAUGCUAUUCUACUCAGUACACUGAUCUCUUGCCACACAGCAGACGCGGUAAUGUCACAUCAUAUGAUAUAUCCCGCUGCACAUUGUACUGCUACUGCUGUCUGGUGUACUGCUACCCACCGCCCCAGCCCGUGUUGUUGCCUCAGAGCUUGAAAUCUCAGGUGUUUCUGUCCAGUUGGCAGGAUCAGCAGCAACAGCAUAAAGGCUGGACCUCAGAUCAAGCGUCAGGUUAACCUGCUUCACCAAAAGCUCCCUGACACAGCCCGGCAAGUGUUUUAGCAACGGGACGAAAUCGUCGUUUGUGUGGUCGAGAUCUCUAACCUCCAAGAAAACCGCGUAACCAUCCUGGAUCAGGGCCCCUUUGCUCGCCGCGUCAAGAAACGUGUCCCUCAGCUCGGUGAUCGGCUUCACCUGACCCAAGACCAUCUCUUCCGCCUUAAUCCCAGCACGCGUCUCCAGUUCCAGUCUCGAGAGGUAGAUCAGUAACAGUAUGUUCGCGCUCUGAACCCCGUUCAGAAUAUCCAGACCAGGUGAUGGAUCGACAUGGAACGUGGAAGGUUGUGGCUGUGGCUGUGGGUCGGAAGCAGCAACGGAUGCCAAGGAUGCGCCGGCUGACUCCUCGAGAGCUGAGGCGGCGUCGAUGUCGCCGUCGCCGGCAGCUGACGCCGCCGGCGAACCUGCGGUUGAUGCGCUUGUCCUGGGCCUCUUCUUCCGUCGCUCCCCUGCUUCGUCGACCUCCAUCUCUUCCUCUACUCUACGGCUGGCUAAACUCGUAGACCCUAGGUGGCGUGUAUGUAGCGGCGUCACCGUGACGACGGUCGGCGUGAUCGAACGGGUGCAGUUCGGAUUAGAUCAGCCAACACUACCGGGCUACGAUGCCUUCUUUGGGCUGGGUCUCCGAUUGAGUGAGGCGGGCCCAGUCAUCAUUACGCUGAGUGGCCCUCUGGCCCAAUUCCUUAGCCGGCCCAUACCCCUUCUCUGGCUGCUUCAUCUUGCACGGUUGCACCUGAAGAUAUUAUGUGAAAGCGGAAGCGAUCUCUGGAAGCUAUAUGUCAGAACUCAGAAGUCAGUGGUGAUUCGAAACUCGAAAGCUAGCCGAGAGCAUUCUUGUGAUGGUGGAGAACGGAGCUCUGAAAAUCCUGGGCGAGGAUGAGCUUGUUCAGGUGCUGGGCAUGGAGGCAUGGAGCGGCAUCUUGUCCAGUAUUAUGAACCAAUGGUCUCCUCCCCAAUCGCAGGAGCUGGUGAGUUGGAAUUGCAACAGCCAGAAGGACGAGACAGGGGAAUGCAGCAGAUUUAGGGAGAGGAGGAAAAUGAAUGAAGUUGUAUAUGCUGAGACUCUGGCCAUGGUUCCUUUUCUUUAUCUUGAAGGGGAAAGCUAAUUUGUGCUCGAGUGUUUCAGAGCUUUAUAUCAUUCGAUUUUUGCUGCUGCUGCCGCACCACGCGAUUAGACCCUGCAGCCAUCUUCCUCGACUACGGCGAGGCUCCGGCCAUCUUCCUCUACCACUGCAAGUCUCCGUCGACCAUGGCAGGUUAGUGUUUGUGGGUUUGGGGUGGGGGCUUCCAUGGAGCGACGGCUGUAGAAGGAGUCUCCGGCGGCAGGUUUGUCCGGCGGUGGUGGUGGGCGUGGGGCGGUGAGGCAAGGCGGCGGUGGCGCCGCCGGCCGGGCAGUGGUGGACAACCGGUGGGCGGGGUCGGGGCGCGGGCGGGGGCAAGGGCGACGACAACGGCGGCGGGGGUAAGCGGCGGCGGGAAGGGCAAGGCGGAGGUUGCCGCGGGCUGAGUAGGGUAUCGCCGGAGCUCGACGCCGGCGGCGGGGAGGAUAGCACUCGAUUUCUCGGCCGUCGGAUGAAGAUCGAACGCUUGUCCUGCUUCUUCUACCUUGAGCAGCAACGUGAGUCACGCCUGAGUCCUGACACCGUUCUUCUUCCCGAGCUUCCAUGCCCCGCCCCCGCCCCACGUGCCACUGCCCCCGCCGCGGGCUGAGUAGGAUGUUGCAACUUGCAAGACAAAGGUGCAUAUUACCCCCCGAAAUUUUAAUGGUUAGAUUUAAAUGUAAGCCCCUGUUGCCUGGCCCGCCUUGUUCGUGCGUGAGCUAGUGUAUGAUGGAUGAGAUACAUGAUAACGCGAGGGGUUAGUUGGAGGAAAAUGGGUACUCGUUUCUGUCGAGCGCACAGUACAGGCGAUCAGAAACGAGUCAUUGAAUCAAUAAAAGCGACGACCUUCGUUUUAAACUGCCUUGCCGCAGGAAAAACAAAUCAAAACUGCCGACCAGAAAAAAAACAAACAAACUGAAUUUCAAAUCGCAUGUCUCAGUAUCCUGUUUUUCAUUCUACUCUGAGCACACUGAUCUCUUGCCACACACUAGGAAACGAAGCUAUUACACCAAAAAGAAUUCUGGCAAACAGCAUAAGCGCAGCAGUGGCACAUUACUCCAUAUAUGUCCCGCUGCACAUUGUGCUUCUACCGCUGUCUGGCGUAGCACUGACCGGCGUACUGCUGCCUGACGUACCGCUGCCCACCGGCACCGUACGUGGUGUUCGCGAUCUUGAAACCUCAGGUGUUUUUAUCCAAUUGGCAGCGUCAGCAGCAACCACCAAAUAUCUGUGCCUCAGGUCAAAAAUCAGCAUAUCUUGCUCCAGCACAAGCUUCGAAACAUCGCAUGCCAUCCGGGAAGAAACCUGUAGCCAUCCGGAAAACCUCGUAGCCAUCCUGGACACGGGGCCCUUUGCCUAUUAUCGCAUGAAUAAACAUGGCGACCAGAUCGUCGAUCGGCUCCAUUUGGCUCACGAAGGUCUCUGCCGCCUUCGCUCCCGCGGGUGUUUUCAGUCCCCAGAGACGGAGCAGCAGUGUCAUGUUCCCGUUCCGAAUCCGGUUCGGGACGUCCAGACCAGGCCAUGGAUUGAUGGCCACGAGGCAUUGUGGGUGGGAAAAAGCAUCGGAGAUUUCAAGGAUGAGCCGGCGGAGUCCUCAGGAUCCGAGGCGUCGGCAGAGUCCUCAGGAUCUGAGGCGUCGUCGAUGUCGUCGCUGGCAGCAGACGCCGACGACAAACUUGCGCACGGUGUCCUUGGCCUCUUGCGCCGUCUCUCCCCUGCUUCGUCGACCUCCAUCUCUUCCUCGGUGGCCAUGGUGAUACGAGAGAAUGGCAGAAAUCGUGUAUACCCUAGACGGGCGUGGUAUGUGGCGGCGUCCACCGUGGUUACAUACGGUCGUGGUUAUAUGUAGCGGCGUGAUCGAACGGGUAUAGUUCGGACUUCGGACUGGAUCAGCCGAGAUUUACCGGGCUGUGCGUCUGUGCCUCUUGGGUUGGGCCGCCAUGUCAAUCCGAUUGGGUUGGGCUGCCAACGGCCCUUGUGUGUCAGUCUGGUUGGGUUGGGCCCACCGGUGGAAAAAACGACCUACCAUCCUUAGAAAAAAAUCUAGGUUGUUUUUUGACCGGGACUAAAGAAGAUUUAGUCCCAGAUCUAAAUUUCCACCUCCGGUUGAUGUUACAAACUGGACUAAAGUCUCUGAGGGCAACCGGGACUAAAGGGUUACCAACCAGGAUUAAAGGAUUCCCACGAGUUACUGCAAAAGGAUUGCAUUCUCUACUCAGUCAGAUGUGCUGUAUAGGUGAGAUAGUAAGGAAGCUAUGCGUGAGGCUUGAGGUCAUGGGUUCGAAUCUCAUGCACCGCGCACGCGCAUAUUUCAUGUCAAAAAUUGCGUGACAUGUGACUUGUUUGUGUGUGGAAACCUCCAGUACUAUUGCUCAUUUCUCUACCAAUGGCCACCAAUAACCCUUGUACUUUAGGAGGGAGGGUAUGAAAACCGCAAAACCAUCUUGGACGAGGAUCCAUUUGCUUACUGCAUCGAGGUCCCUCAGCUCUAAAGAUGGUAAUAGGCAAAAUGCUCGUGGAUACAGCCCGUGCCCUCCACCCGCCAUGGGCAACCAAGCUUGCCCACGCCCUCCAUCCGAGUGCCUGACAUCAGUCCCAUGGAAGGCUUGCACUCGAGAGCUACUAGGGAUUACCAUUUGCAGAUGCAUGUCAACACAUUAGUGACACAAAUCAACACUCUAGCUUGCAAGAAGGCUGCCCAACUAUGUCUAGUUUACAAAAUUAGUUGAACCAUUAAAGUGAAUGACAUAAAUUACCAACAUCACUAGCAGACUGAACCACAAACAGAAGCGCAAAGCGUCACUCCUAGAUCUGGACAUCCACCAAGGAGCAGAGGUUGCUGCUGAAUGGAGGAAGGCCACCGGCCAGAGGAAGGCUUCGGGGAGGGAUGAGGCUUGAUGGUAGUUAAGGGCUGGCGUUGAUGCAGACUUGCAGAGGAUUUGGGUGUCUAGGACUCGGGGGCAGGUGGCCGGCCGGCGGGAGGAGGGUAGCUUGGAUGGGUGGCGGUGGUCAUGCAGGGGCACUCCUAGCUUGCGACUUCUCAUGUAGCGCGAGUGCCGAGCGCGGCGUGACGGGAGAGGAGUGGGCGGCGGCGGGGACAGGGGUCGGUCGGGGGUGGCCGGGUGUGGAUUGGAAUAAGGGAGAGGAACUUUAAGAUUUGUGUAUACAUAUUCACUCACGUCAGACCUGUGGAGCGGGUAUGCGGCGAAUAUAGCAAUUUUCUUUGCCCGCGCGAACAACUAUCCUAUGGGUGCUUGCACCCAUGCCCAUGGGCUAGGAAAUGACACCCAUGCCGCAUCGGGUUCCAUGCUUGCAGGCACGUGGGCAUUAUGUGCCCGUUGCCAUCUUUACUCAGCUCGGUGAUCGUCUCAACCUGACCCAACGCCAACACCACCUCCAUCGCCCUCGCUCCGGCAGGUGUCUUUUAAUCUCGAGUGGUCGAUCAGUAAUGCCGUGUUGGCGCUCUGGAUCCAGUAACCGAUGCUGGAUUGACGCGGAGCAUGGAGGGCUGUGGCUGUGGCUGUGGGUGGAAAGAAGCAUGAGAUGUAAGGAUGCGUAGUCGGCAGAGUCCUCAGGAUCUAAGCUGCCGUCAAUGUCGUUGCUAGCGGCAGACACCGGCAAACUUGUGCCCUUGGUCCUCGGCCUCUUCUUUGGUCUCUCCCCUGCUUCGCCCAUCUCCUCCAUCUCUUCCUCUCCAUCGUCGGUUUUAGAUGAGGUCAUGAUUAUGGGCCUGUUUGGCUACACUCCACUCCAAAUUUUUGAGCUCCACUCCACCAACUCCACCACAUUGUAUCUCCACUCUACCAACUCCAAAAAAAUACCAGAGUUGUCCACAUGUUUGGCAAAAUGUACAGAUCCAGCUCUGGAAACAGAAGGUCUUGUUGUGUAAAUCCAUUAUACCCAUGUGAAUGGGUCCCACUUAUCAGUCUCCUUUAGUUCUCCCCUUCUUCUCCUUUGCUGGCAGGGGCGGCGCGGCGGGCAGGGGCGGGUGGCACGCGGCGGGCAGGGGCGAUGCGGCGAGCAGGGGCGGUGCGGCAGGCAGGGGUGGGCGGCGCGGUGGGCACGACCGACCGCGGUGGAAGGCAGGGGCGACGCAGUGGGCAGGGUGGGAGGGGGCGACGGGAGGAUUCUUUUUGUUUCGCGAACCAGUAAGUUGUGUAAUGAGUGGUAAUGGUGGGUAAAUACCCACCAACUCCACGAGGAGGUCUAUAAAGGAGUUUUUGGAGCAGCUCUUGAGGUACUCAAAAAAACGUGGAUCUACCCUCCCGCUCCACCUUUUUUCUGGAGUCGGAGUUGCUGGAGCUAGACACGUUUGGCUGUGAAAUUUUUAGAGUUGGUGGAGUGGAACAAUUUUUCAUGGUGUGGAGUGCUCCAUCACACAGCGGCGUGAUUUAACGGGUACAGUGUCCGACUUCGGAUUGGAUCAGCCGAGACUUACCGGGCCUCUUGGGUUGGGCCGCCAACAGCCUUGUUGCCUGUCAGCCCGAUUGAAUCAGCGGCGGCAACCCGCCCGGGCGGCGCCGCACAUUACAGCCCGUCUCUUGGUCUCGCGCGCGUCCGCCCUCCGCCGCCAACCCCCCGCCGUCGGCCAUCGGUCCGCCGCCGCGGCAACCGGCGGUGCCCGCCGCACUGAGGCCGACCCGCAUCCCUGGCGCCGCGCCUCACAUAUCAGAGCACACGCAUCGAUUCGAUUCCCAUCUAAGCCUUCGGUCCCCGCGCGGUGCCACGGCGGCGGCGGCGAGCCAUGGCAAUCGAGUGCCUCGUGCUAGGUACGCGGCAGCGCCCCCUCUCUUUCUCCCUCCCUCGCUCCUCCAAAGCCCCGGCUCGAUUACAACCACUCUAACGCUGCGCCGUGCUGGGUUGCGAGUGCAGGGGCGGGGCAGGAGGUGGGGAAGAGCUGCGUGGUGGCGACCAUCGCCGGGAAGCGGGUCAUGUUCGACUGCGGCAUGCACAUGGGCUACCACGACCGCCGCCACUACCCGGACUUCGCGCGCGCUCUUGCCGCCUGGGGCGCGCUGGAUUUCACCAGCGCCCUCUCCUGUGUCGUCAUCACGCACUUGUGAGUAUUAUGUAGAUAAUAAAUGUUUUACCCUGUCCUCUUUUUUUUUUUCGCUGGCGAUUUUCUUCAACUUUCUGGUUUGAUUGGUUACCGACUGAAGAAGCUCGCGCCCUGCAGCCACUUGGAUCAUAUUGGGGCGCUGCCCUACUUCACUGAGGUCUGCGGGUACCACGGCCCCAUCUACAUGACGGUGAGCUCCGACGAAUAUUCAGAUUGUUGUUUGGGUAUGUCAGUUAUUUUCUGUAAGUAAAUUGACUUUAAGUUGGAUCGAUUUGUUGAACUUUGGAUUAUACUGCUUCUGAGCUAGGCAGUACUGCUAAUUGCCACUCGUGAUACUAUCAUACUGUGGUAAGGUCCAAUGUACAAAAUGUACUGCUUGCUUGAAUCUCAGAAAAUUGCUAUCUGUGUUCCAGCUGUGUCAAUUGGGAGUUGGGUAAAAUCAGCGAUUUUUCCAUCCUUGAUUUGAGCAGGCACAGAUAAUGAUCUUGCAUUAUUAGCUCAUAUGCUUGGGUCUUUGUCUUCCUUGGUUUCCCCUGUUCUUAUAUGAGAAGCAUCUAUAUUUCUUGAUGAUUGAUAUUCACCCACCCCAUAACUUCUUUCAUGUUUUCUCAAGCAGUAUCCUACAAAGGCUUUAGCUCCAUUUAUGCUGGAGGAUUAUCGGAAAGUAACGAUGGAUCAGAGAGGGGAGGCAGAGCAAUAUAGCUAUGAAGAUAUUCUUAGGUGUAUGAAGAAAGGUAACCUUAGUCAACUUUGCAAUUUUUAUUGCCUUCCUAUUUACAAACUGAUGCUGAUGCAGAAGUAGGCAUAUAUCAUAAUUCUCUUUUGCCUGACAUACUUGACCUUUCAGUCAUACCCUUGGACUUGAAGCAGACUGUUCAAGUAGAUAAAGACCUUGUGAUUCGUGCAUAUUAUGCUGGACAUGUAUGUUCCUUGGUACUUUUUUACCAUUCCAUAUUAUGUUUGUGUUCUGUAAAUUCUUUGAAAUGAAGUAUUGAUUUAGUUCUCUGCUUUCUAAUCUAGUAAAACCAUCAUUCCAAACUCAAGGUUCUAGGGGCUGCCAUGAUUUAUGCAAAAGCUGGAGAUGCUGCUAUGGUCUACACCGGAGAUUACAAUAUGACACCAGAUAGACAUCUUGGGGCUGCACAAAUCGAUCGUCUCAAAUUGGAUCUCUUGAUAACAGAGUAUUGUCCAACCUCCAACUAUAAACAUGUUUUUUUCUAUUUGGUGGUUCCCUUUACUUGGAUUUUUAACCACAUGUUGUUAUGAAUUAUGCUGCAUUACAUCCAUAGGCUCUUUCUUAUGUGUUCCCACCAUAGGGGCAAGGGGGCAUCUUGUUUGACUUUUCAUUGUGUGAUUGCAUUUUUUUUUUGAGGAAUGUGAUUGCAUUUGUUGAUAUCAGGUCUUGGGAACAUGCUGCAGACUGGUAACCUCUAUGGACUUAUUGCUUGGGUCCUGUUGUUAGCCAGUGUGUUCACCUGACAUCAUUUAGGAUAUUGCUGUGAAUCAUCUAUAUAGUCGGCUAUUACUCAUUACUUGUUAUUUGUUGAAUGUAGUUUUUGAUACUACAACAGAGUACAUUGAAUCUGCAUUCGUUUUAGGAUUGUGCUGGCAUCUUAAUGUUGUACUGUUAUAUAAUCAAGCUAAGAGCACAAUUGGCGUGCUGAGUAUUUUUUUUUGUAUACAUCAUGAAGUAGUAAAUAGCAUUGUUCUUUGUGCAGGUCCACAUAUGCUAAAACUAUACGUGAUUCGAAGCAUGCCCGAGAGAGGGAGUUCCUAAAAGCGGUAUGAACAUGUGAACUUUUAUGCUGCCAAUGUAGAGAUUUGGUAAUUUUUAGUUGCAUGUGUAGCAACAAUUGCUUUUGCAAUGGUCGACUGUUAAGUUUUGAUUGUACAUGCUUAGGUUCUUCUGGCACAAUACAAUAUAGGAAGUGUGUCGACUUUUUUUUUAAUCCUACAACCAUGGUUUUUGAGUUGUUGUGGCCUCCUGUGGUGUUGGGGACACGCCUGGAUGCUGAGAUGGCAUCUAGGUGACAAGUCAUUAGGACCUUGUGGUGUUAGGGGCACGCCUGGAUGCCUAGGCAAUGGUGCAAUGCCUUAAAAACCAUAACUACGAUCUUUGGCAAAAAAAAAAAAAUUCUUACUGUAUUAAUCCAAAUCCUAUGCAUUGUACAUUGGUUGAGUUUCAAGGCUUAACUGAAUAUAUGUUUUCUCUAGGUACAUAAAUGUGUUUCUGGAGGGGGUAAAGUUCUGAUUCCGACAUUUGCUCUGGGAAGAGCUCAGGUGCCCUAGUUCUCUCUUAACACAACUUUAUGAGACAAAAUCAUGACUGACUAUUACCCCCAUUUUGCUUAAAUGAGCAAGUUCCUCUGAGAAGUACUGUACCUAUGGGCACACUAUUCACAGUCUUCAUAAAUUAAAUGUCUAUUUAGGAGUGACACUGUCCUGUUGUGUAUUUCAGGAGCUAUGUAUGUUACUGGAUGACUAUUGGGAGAGGAUGAACUUGAAGAUUCCUAUUUACUUCUCAGCUGGUAUAUGUGGUUUCUUGAAAAUUGAAGCCUUAAUCUUCUUUUUUUUGUAUUUUCUUCUUUUUGUGAAGUUAUGUUUGUUGAUAUUUCUAUAGGUUUAACCAUUCAAGCUAACAUGUACUACAAGAUGCUUAUCGGAUGGACCAGCCAAAAGAUCAAGGAUAGUCAUGCAGUGCAUAAUUCAUUUGACUUCAAGCAUGGUAUGGUUGGGUUCUUCAAAAGCUAAUCCAUCCAAUCCUAUGCAGAAUAAAGAUAAAGUGCAUAUGAUUGUGUUAAAGAUCUAAAUAUUCAGUAGACCAUUAAAUAAACUUGCAGUUUAUCUUUUGCAUUUUGUUACAAUUUGUAACUGUGCAACACCAAUUGAAUAUUGUGUGCUUCUACUCAUUUUAAUGUUUCUUUAAUGAAAUAUAUUUUUAGUCAAUCAUGAUACUGAGAAUAAUUUUUGCUAUUUCAAUUUAAAAUAGGAAAUGUUCUAUCCUUUUUUGUUGUUCUCUUAUGCAUCCUCCAACAAUGCUACUUCAGCUAGCUCGUAUGAAUCCACCUCAUCACUUUGCUUACAUGGAAGAGAGAGAAGGUGAGGAGAGAGAAUGUACUAUCUCUUCUUCAAGAGGUAGCUCAUAGAGAAAGUGGCCUCCACACUUUAUUGAUGAGAGAGGUGUUGUAGGACCCAAAAUAAUUUGAGCAAUGUGCUAGGAGAUAAACCAUUGGAGAUAUAAUCUUUUUGCUAUCUCUUAUGUGAGAUGGAGAAGCUUUGAGCUAGUGUAUUAGCUCAACCAUUGGAGGCGGCCUUAUACCAGAAUAACACAGAAGCUUUUUUGUUUAACAUUUCAGUUUGCCACUUUGAGCGUUCAUUCAUCAACAACCCUGGUCCCUGUGUACUUUUUGCAACACCUGGGAUGAUUAGUGGUGGAUUUUCCCUUGAGGCAUUUAAGAAAUGGGCGCCAUCAGAGAAGAAUCUGAUUACACUUCCAGGGUAUACUCCAUACCUUUCUUGUUUCCAACAUUUUUUCUAGUAUGGUAAAUCACUCUUAUUCAUACUGGCAACCUUUACCCUAUAUGCCACCUUUCUAUUUCCCACAUGCAGUUAUUGUGUUGCUGGAACCGUUGGUCAUAAGUUGAUGUCUGGGAAAACUACGAAGAUUGUUUUAGACAAGGACACCCAUAUUGAUGUCAGAUGUCAGGUUGCUUUUCACCUCAUUUUAUAUGUUAUGAAAAAUUGUACAAUUUUAAAUUAAUAAUGUUAGGUGUCAAGGAAAUUGUUAAGCAGAAGGAAAUCUUUUAAUGGCUAGUGUUUGGCUUACUCUUCUGAAUAUACUCAAACUUGAUAAUUAAUCCCUGCUGUUCUUUUCACUUCUGAUAUGCUAUGCCCUCACUGAGUUGUUUUUCUUCUUUAAUUUGUGCACCAGAUCCAUCAGCUAGCAUUCAGUCCUCACACAGACUCCAAAGGGAUCAUGGAUCUGACUGAAUUUCUUUCACCCAAACAUGUAAUUCUUGUCCAUGGUGAAAAGCCUCAGAUGGCUUUCUUGAAGGAGAGGAUCGAAUCUGAAUUGGGGAUGCCGUGCUUUUAUCCAGCUAACAAUGAGUCUGUCUCCAUACCAACAACCCAUACUCUCAAAAUGAGCACCACCGAGAGGUUCAUUACAAGCUGUGCUGCUGAGCAAGGUAAACAGAGCCUGCGGAAGCGGAAUCUGAUUCAUGGUACUGGUGCGUCAGAAGUGAAUGGCAGUGAUGAGGCUGCUGCGGAGGGUGUUCUGGUGAUGGAGAAACACAAGGCUCCAAAGAUUUUGUGUGAGGAUGAGCUUCUCCAGGUGCUGGGCAUGGAGCGUCAUCUUGUCCAGUUUGAAGCAAUGGGCUCCUCUAGAAUUGAAGCGGCUGUUGAAUGGGAGCUGAAGCGGGCCGAGGCAGCCGAUUUAGGUAGUGAGGAAAAUGAGUGAAACUGUACAUGCUGUAAUUUUCAAUUAUUUUCACCUUUUCUUUCUUGGAAAUACUCGGAAUGUUAUACACAUGGUCAUUGGGAGAGAAGCACACCACCGAAUUGUAACUUGAGUGGCAACAAAUUUUGGUACCUCCCUUGGGUGUGUUGUAUAUUAUCCUCAGAAUUCAUUGGUUAAAUCUGUGCUCCUGCUGCUUGAGCAACCUUCCUGAUGCAUAAUGCAUUCGCCCAAAAAAAGAAAAAACCUUCCUGAUGCAUGAGCUAGUGCAGGACAGGAUGGGAUGAUACAUGAUGAACCGGUUAUUUCUGUCAAGAGCGCCGUACAGGGUAUCUGUAACGAGUCGUAAAAUGAUUUCAAGCAACGUCAAGGUCAAGAGCAAGGCACUUUUUAAACUGCAGCAGAUUGCUUCCGUGCAAGAUCGUUGGUCAUGCGCGUGGCCGAUCAGUGCAAGUUUCGACUGAUGUUGCCGUCCUGUGUUCCUGAAUGCUGAACAAGUCCAACUUCAGUCAUACACUCCGUAGCUCAGAAUUCCAAACCACCUUUUUCUCUAGGAUUUAUGCAUGGAACAAUCAAGUAGUCGUCAGUCCACUCUCGGAAUGUUGAAACUGGACCGUGAUCUGUGUACUGCAUAAAGACUUUGCAUCUGACGUGAAUAUGUAACCGGGAUUAUGCAUGCUUGCAUAAACCAGCUGGUUGCGUCAGUCUAAUCCGUCAAAAACGUUUUCUUCAUCCUCACGCGGCAAUGCCGCUGAAGUUAACAUCGUCAGCUACUCAGCUGGCUGGCUCAGCAAUCGAUCGUCUCCAUCUGAACGAUGGGUUAGCUCGCUGCAUGCCUAUAAGUAGACUUCAUGGCUUCGAGCUUUAGACGCACAACAACCUGUUAUACUCUCAGCUGCUCGAGCCUUGAGCUAAUCAGCAUUCAGAAAGGCUGCUCGAGAUCUAGCUUAUUAGCUUGCUGCACGAUCAAGAUGAAGGGAGGAGUGAGAGGAAGAGGUGCGGCUGGAGCUGCGGCGGCGCUGCUUGCGCUGCUGCUCGUCGCAGCGUCGUCGGUGCAUGCCGAUGCCGCGGCAGCACCGGCACGGCGCCUGCUAGGAGCUGAUGGCGCCACCAUGCAGCCGUUGGCGGCGGCGGCGCCGCCACCACCGCAGGUUUCCGUCAGCAAAGCCGCAGGGUCUUGCGGCACGAACGACCCAAACAUUUCUUGCCCUCCGCCACCGCCCGCGCCAUAGCAAGCUAUAGAUAACUAGCUAUACCUACACGUGCAUACACUCUUCCUGCAUAUAAGCAUGGAUUUUUUCGUCCAAAGGAUUUGUUUAGCUUGGAUAAGUUUAUUGUUUGUAGGCUGGCAGGAAGUGACCUCGAAUACUUUAUUUGUAAGAAGUGGAUAAUAAUUUGUUCAUUUGGAUUAUAUUGUUACACCAGUUGUCUUGUAAUAUACAAAGAGCAAUCAGCUAUCGAUUUGGUUUAACUACUGGGCAGUGGGCAUAUGAUAUCUUCUGUGUGGAUCGGUUGAGUGGAUUGAUAUGCUGCUCUGCUUUGCUAUACUGUUUUACAAACAAGCUAAUCUUUUACGAAACACAAUAUGAAGUACACAUUUUUAUACUCUCUUAAACGAAAUUUGUAUUAAACCUUGUAGAGAUGGAACUGCGUGAAACCACGCCUAAUAUAUAUAAAUCGUCUGAGUUCAAAGACCGGUUAUACGUUGUGUUCAUCACUCACACGGGGGACAAUAUGGGCUCAACUGCAUCUCUACCUAGGCCCAUUAUGUCUAAAGAAAAAAAACAAGAAAUAGACAUUGUGGUCAAACCGAAUGCCAACUCAGCGGAUCGGUUGACUUGACCCUAACUGAUGGAUAGGUCAAGGGUGUUUGGAUUGUUAGUCUAGACUAAAAUUCAUGUCACAUCGAAUAUUCAUAUUUGGAGGUUAAUUAGAAAGACUAAAUAUAAGCUAAUUAUAAUAAUUAUAAAAUUAAUUACACAGAUGAAGGCUAAUUCCUGAGACAAAUCUAUUAAGCCUAAUUAAUCCAUCAUUAGCACAUGUUUACUGUAGCACCAUAUUGUCAAAUCAUGGAUUAAUUAGGCUUAAUAGAUUCGUCUUGCAAAUUAGCUUCCAUCUAUACAAUUGGUUUUUGUAAUUAGUCUAUGUUUAAUACUUCUAAUUAAUAUCUAAAUAUUUGAUGUGAUAGAAAUUUUAGGAGAUCCUAUAAAACAAACGGGCCUAAAGAAAGCUCAAAGUCAAUCCACGGGUUUCUUUUGGUAUGGAAUGUCUUAGCCGCGAAGCUUCACUGGCAGACUGCCUGCAGCCUGCAGGGACCACUGUCGUUUGAAUCAAGUAGUCAGCAAUAAGUGCUGCUGCAAACUAGACCGCUAGCUGCAAGCUGAAAGUUCUUCAGUUCUAAUUUAUAUGGGAAUUCUAAACUUGAAAGUUCUUCAGUUCUAAUCUAUAUGGGAAUUCUGAACUUUUGAAUGCUGAACAAGUCUAAGGGUGUGUUUGGUUAGGCUGUGAUUUUUGGAAAAACUGUUGUGAGCUGUGGGCUGUGGAAAAGCAGCUGUGGGAAAAGCAGAAGACCGUUUGGUUAGAGCAGUUGUAAAACUGUAGGCUGUGCAAGAAAUACCUGUAAUGCCCCUAAAGGUCUAUGGGUGUGUUUAUAUGCAAAUUGCUCGUAACAAAAUAAUGUGUUCACUAAUUCACAUGUAAAUGACUAUUUUAGAAAGAAAAAAAUAAAUUUUACGUGUUCAUCCAUCAAAAUGAUUGGUUCGCAAAAAUAGAGCAAUAUCCAUCAAAAUUAAGUUUAUACAAUGAUGCCAUCCCUCAACAUUACUGUUCUCCUCUUGCACUAAUCAAAGCAUCAGGUCUAGUACGAAUGGUAUCUUCAGUUUGGGUGCCUGGAUAACUCGGAUCUUCAGGCCACACACGUUAGACCAUCUAUGAUGAUACUUGCCAAGGAGCAUCCUCCAUGAUGACUUCUUCGAGCUUUCUUUCUCGGCUGAGAACAUCCGAUACACCGAGGCUCCGGAGCGUCGAGGAGAUGAUCCGGAGAUGACGAUAAUCGAGGUUGUACUGCAGCACCAAGCUCUGCAGGACAAGGCAUCUGUACAGGAUGUCAUGGAGAGUGCACUCGGAGAUCCUGACGCCCUUGGGCGUCAGUUGCUCGAGGCGCGGGAAACCGAGCGUGCCGCAAGCGGCGGCGGCCUCCGCGGGGGCUUGAGGAACUCAAGUCCGCCAUGGUUAGAGCAGAUGCGGAGCACGCGUAGGGUUGCCGAGAAGCGGAACACGGACAGCGGCGCCGGCACCGGAUUCCGGCAGAUGUUUUUCAGAGCCAUAGCGAUGGGGAAGGGGGAGGAGAAGCGCAGCCAGAGGCAAAACUCCUGGAGCCCGUCGAGGCCUGGUGGCCGAAGCAUGUCGUCGAUCUGGGUGCGGGUGCCGUCGGUGGCGGGUAGCAGCCUGAUGACGGCGCCGAGGACGUCGUCCGGGAGGCGGCCGAUCAGUUGUGCGUCUCCUUCCUCUCCUCUGGGUGCCAGAGGUGGUCGCUGUUGCCGCAGCGGGCCACGAGGGCAGUAGCGGCGCGCGGGAGGCGCAGGCCCAGUAGGCACGGCGGCGGCGGCGGCGCCCGCGCCCACGCCCGGCGGUGGCGCGAUGGUGCUCGGGCUUGACGGCUUCUCUCACGUGACAGAAAACAAAGAAAAAAAAUAAAAGAACGAACGGGUAUGUUCAUAACCAGUGGUAGGUGGGUAACUUUUUACCCUAAAAGUACUUGAAAGCAGGGGAAGGUGCUUUUGUUUUUGUACUAGAGCAAAAUCAGCUUUUGACAAAAAUACCUGUGGCUUUUAGAUCCUUUGGUUGGCUUUUGGCUUUUGCAAAAGCAAAAGCAGGUUGAAAAGUCCAACCGAAAGCACCCAAGUCCAAACCACCUAUAGAUGGCCAUUUGGGCCGCAGGCAUGGCCUAGCACAUGGUAAGGAGGCACAAGCACGGUUGCACCGUGUUGGCCUGGCACGGUGAUGCUGCCGUACCAGGCUGUGCCUAUCCACAAAUCAGCACGCACAGUUGGAAUAGCGUGCCGUGCUAGCUCACAGCUUGGUAAUAAAAAACAUCAUCAUUUUCAAAUUUGGCAAUACAAAGGUGAAAAAUUGCAAAUUAUAAAAUUUAUCUCAGAAAUUCAAAAGUCACAAAUCUGGACAUCAACUGAUGAUCAAAUCACAAAGUCAACAUAUUCACGUAGCACAUAGGCCACAAAAUGGCAGGUUACAAUAUCACACGUUGACAGACAUAAGUUUUUUCCCCUAUGGGCUAUGCCCGAAUUUCAUUACUUCAAGCAAGCAACGAAAUUAUAAGGUCGGUGGAUUAGAUUCCACCGUACAUUCAGAGUUUCUAACCUAGACUUGCAAACAUGAAAUUAACAGGCUGUAACACAGAGAGUUUCAAGGCUGUAACACAGAGAGUUUCAGGCAUCAAGAUUCAAACUACUGUCACUGACUACACACCAGCCACCGUCUUGAGUGUUUCAGAUUCUGCAUUCUCCAUCGCAAAAGUAAACUUUUAGCACCCAUUCUUGUCAGAUUCACUUCACUGAAGAAGUACCGUCCCUGUGUCAUCCGCUGGGGCCUCCUGUGGAUGAUAAUGCGGAGCCGCCACCUUGAGUGCUUCGGCCCCUUCUUCCAGCUUCAUUCUGUCUUCUUCUUUCUGCAAUUCUGCCCAGUAUAUAAGAAACAAUGAGGCAGAGCAAAUGAUCUCAGUAGGAGAUCGAAUAAUUUUCUUAUCAAAACAAACACUAUUUCUUGCUUUCCAAAUAGCCCAGCAAACAGCCGCAAGACCAACCAUAUGAAAUUUCCUACAAUUUUUUAGAAAAGAAUUAGCCCACACCCAAAAUUAAUUGUUCCAGGUUACAAGGUCUACAGUUUGCUCCAACCACCAAGGCAAUCAAACUCCAAAUAUAUUUUGCCAUAGCACACCCAAAGAACAUAUGUUCCACUGUUUCUCUUUCUGAACAGAAAGCACAAGAUUCAUCUCCUUGCCAUUUCCUUCUCACCAAAUUAUCUUUUGAAAGAAUUGCAUUAUGUUGCAUCAGCCACAUGAAAAUCUUAAUUUUCAGUGGCAUCUUAGCUCCCCAAAUGUUACUGUUUGUUACAGAGGGUUCAUUGCUAAACAUAUGAGAAUACAUGGAUUUGACUGAAAAGACUCCUUUCCCCUCCCAUAUUCAUUUAGGCUUAUCCGUAUCAUUAGAUAAAGCAAAAGAAGUCAGUAAAUCAUUCAACCUUCUCAGUUGGAUUUGUUUACUUUCAUCGAGCCAUCUCCUAAAAGUGAGUCUCCAGUUUCUAUUUGCUAUAUGAGCAACAGUUUCGUUACAUAUUUCAUACAACUCCGGGAACUUAUCUUUUAAGGACACAUUCCCACACCAUGAAUCACUCCAAAAGUCGGUUUUCUUACCAUCCCAACUAUCGUUACUCUCCCUUUAAGUAUAAAUCUUUAACUUUGAUCAGAUUAUUCCACACCGGCGAAUUCGUUGGUUUGCUCUUUAACUGAGACAAACAUGCAUUUAUAACAUAUUUUUUCUUUACAAUUUCUUGCCAUAAGUACAUAACACAUAUUUAGUAUUUACAGAUAGAGCUAUUUCAUAGUUAGGUUUGGCUACCUUAUUAAAAACCUUCCUAGGUAAAAACUUACACUUGGUGAGAAAACCUUAAUCAGGAAGGAAAAAGAGUACAACUCAGCUCAACGAAAUAAGUUUAUGAGUUCAUUACAUGACAUGAUAACAAGAUAACAAGAACUGAAGAACACAUUAGCAUUUCAUCAGGCCAAGGCCACCAGCCUCCACAAAAGUUUCCAAUUCAUCACUUGAUCACUUGGCAGGCCUAGCAAGUAGUGAAAAUACAAGUUCAAAUUCAUGUUAAAGUUCUAGCUAAACGUUCCAUAACUAUCUAGCAAAACGUGUUGUAAGUUCUAACAGAUGAUAAGUUGAAUUCUAGCAUGGAACAAUCAAAUAGUCGUCAGUCCACUCUCUUUAACUGUUGAAACCUUGUUGGUUCAGAGCAAGCUCUUUACCAAACACUCAAAGAAAGCACACACAAAUGGGAAACAAAACUCUCUUAGGGCUUGUAUUUCUCCAAAAAUGUGAACCCUUGUACAAUAGGGUGUUGACAGCAGUUAGCAUGCUAAUUUGUGAACCGCAAGUGCACGGAUCAUCGUAGCUUGUCCCUUAGAGUAUUUCAUCCAAGGUUUAUCAAAUCGUGGAUUAGCAGCGAACUGACUAGGGUUCUCUAUCUAGCUAAAUGGAUCUAAUCCUAUCAUGAAGCAUGAAUUGCAUAUAAAGGUAAACCCAAUGGAGAGAUAAGUAUUAUAAACAAGGUAAAUAGAUCACAUCCAUAUAUAUGAGGUAACACAACCAAAGGUAGCAUGAGCCUAUUGUCUUCUUGUUGUAGUUCCAGCCAAAGUGGUAACCAAUAUAUGUAGCACCUUGAUAAAGAAUCAUUUCUCAGAAAGGUGGCUCGCAAGCGGCCUACUUUCCUGUAGUCACCACUGCGAGGUGCAUGUUAACGCCUCCGGUCUCCCAAGGCUUUACCUCAAAAGACUCCCACAAUACUCGCUAUCGAUCCUACUCAACAUUACGCAAUCGUUCAACUUUUCCCCUCCCAUAUGUUGUCACCAUGCAAAGGUAGUCACACCGACUUCCUACGCACUACUAAGAUGUAUCCGCAAGACAUAGACUAAUCAUCAUGAUUACAUCUAUUCCUACUAAGAACAUAUGCUAGCUAAACAUAUGAGAAUAAGCAUGCAUCAUAGUAGAUCAAAGUAAGCACAAGAUUAGAUUGAUAUCACCAUCGUGUGUACAUAAGCCUUGGUGAUCACAAGGCUCGGCUCCAGAACUCCACCAUGGCUUCGCCACGCAGGGACGACCAUGGCGGCUAGGGUCUAGCCUAAGCCAUCUCCUAGACAACCUUGAAGACUUGCAGUAGCCUUUAGCUUCCUCUAGUGUGUGUCCCUAUAUUUGUCGACUUCUGGUAGAUGGAUCUUGUGUGACGAUGAAUUUUGGGCAUACUUAUCAUUUGGAGGACGCGUGGCUGAAAUAGGAAGGCGAGGGGAGCAAGGACAGCCCCAGGCCAGCCUGGAGGGGUGAGGGAGGGGGGGGUCCAGGGAGAUCGGCAUGGCCCUUCCUUUUAUCCCCUCGCGCCCAACUUCAUUGCCAAGUCUCCUCUAAUGUUCUAGAAGCUUAUUUUUGUAUGCAUGUGGGUCUGACACGUCGAUAGCUGCGGGAUGAGAUUGAUCUUUGCUAACUUUCCAAAUCUCUGCUUGAUCUUCUUUGAUUUCUCUUUGAUCCCGAAGUGAUACUUUCCAUAUCUUCACAAUCUUAGCUCUUAAGUAAUCUUGGAGGAGUGCUUGCCAAAAGUGAGCAUCGGAGGGGGUCAGAAGACUCCUAGCUGAUCGACUUGGGCUUCACCAGGCUGAUCGGCUUGGGUUCUUUCUGAGCCCGCUGGCCUUCGUCUUUGAUAGGUUCGUUGCUUGUUCACGGCUUUAUCCAACAAUAUGCUUUUAGGUCCAAUUUCCUGCAAAAAUAGAAUGUCCUCCAAAAUACAAUGCAUAUGGGAAAACGGGGUUAUUUUAGGUGCCAAGUGGUGGGUUAGUAUAAUAAUAUGUAUGAAAAUAUCACUUAAAUGGCACUAAAAGUAUGUCAAUAAUGAGCGUCAAUAAUUCCCCCAUGCUUAAACCUUGCUCGUCCUCGAGCAAGUCCAGGAUACUUACUUAAUCUAGAAAUCAGCGUUGCCCUUUGAUGUCGUCCCUGCACUCAGUUAUACAUAAUAAGACAUAUUUCUCUCUCAAGUAUUUAGCAUUUAAAGUUCAAGUUAUGACCGGAUACUUUUCAUCAUGGAAGAUAGAAUUAGCAAUAAAGAACAUGCCACAAUAAAAUAAAUACAAUGCUCUUGAACUUAAGUGAACUUCAGACCUUUACCUUGUUCCAUCAUGAAGAGUUUUUCAAAAGAUGCAAAUGCAACACAAGUGAGAUUCUCUUGCAAUAGUUCAUGGAAAUACUCAUCUCAUAUAUGAAAGUGGAAGGCUUAUGUGGAGCUUGGUAGGUAGAAACAAUCCUAGCAAGAUAUUAUAUCUAAAAUAUUAAGUCACUCAAGCCUAUACUAGAUUAUUUUCAACCUAUUCUACUCAUAUAUGAAAGUGGAAGGCUUAUGUGGAGCUUGGUAGGUAGAAACAAUCCUAGCAAGAUAUUAUAUCUAAAAUAUUAUCAAACUAAGAGAGAGAUCUAUUGAGAUUACUUAGACUUGUCAAAAAGGUCAUGGAAAAUAAAUUUUGGAGAGGAAGAGGGAUGAAACAUACACAUUUAGAUAAGUGGACAUGUGCAAGUGGCAAAUGAAUGAUCCAGGGGCACAAAUGAAGUUCUCGUUAUCAGAUUGCACAUGGUUGGAAAAUGAGUAUGGAUCAAUCCUUAAUCUUGAGAGCACUGGGAACUUUAAUAAGGCUUAAAGAACUAAGGAGAAUUUUAUUCUUUUUCUUAUUAUCAUUUUGUCCUUUUUCAUUCCUUUUUUCUUUCUUUCUUCUUUCUUUCUUUUUCCUCAUUUUUCUUUCUUGUUCCUAAUUUUUUUUCAUUUUGCUCCUCAGAACUUCUUGCAACAUAGUACUUUACUCAGCAGUAGUUAGAGAUAAUGCGAUGACUCCUCUCCCAUACUUAGAUGAUGCUCAUCCCCGAGCAUGAAAAGGAAGGAAGAUAAACUGCUGAUUUAAGCACCAAAAUCUUCGAUCUUCUACAAAAAAAUUAUUUUAUUCCUCUGGAGGGAUUUCCACCCCAAAUUUCAAAGAGAACAGAGGGGGAAACACCUCAGGUCGAUCAGCCUGGCCCCUUCUGGCCUCUGUUUUCUUCGCUUUUUAUUCUCCGUACUGGUGGAUGCCUCCAGCUCUUAAUUUUCUUUAAAAGGCAUUGAUUAAUCUUCUGAGUCUUUGUCAAAAUAUUUUUCCAUACUCAAUAAUAGGUUCUGGUCAAGGAGGUAGUCACAAAAAUGAUAUAUUUGGGUUUAGGUUGGAUGCCCAGCGAGGUUCAUGAAAUUUCUAGUGUAGAAAUUCAUAAUGCAUGGACAAAAAGGCUAGAAGAAAAAGGUUUACAUAGAGGAGAUGGCCAGCUUCUAAGUCUCAUACCACAAAAAUCAAUCUUAAUCCAACUCAUCAAAAUAUAAGUUUGCAAUCUAAAGGUUUCAUCAUGAAAGAUCAUGCAUGUAUAUAGGCUCUGGUAGAUAGAACUUUGCAAGAGAUUCACAAAUGUAGAUAGAAUAUGAAUUAAUUUUAAAUUAAAACAAUUCAAGUUAUCAUGUCAUCAGAAAACUUAAAUUGAAGAGCAACAUAGAGUUUGUGGGUCUAGAGUUUUGUCAUUUAACCUCCACAAUUAACAGAGCCGGUAUUUAAUCAAUUUAAGUUCAUUAAACAGAGAACAAUUUGUCAAGUCACAUAAAACAUUGUGUAGGUAAAACAAAACGGCAACCUUCAUCAUUUUUCCAUAAGCAAGAUUAUACCAAAAUUAUUAACAUCGUGGUGAGCACAAGGUGAUGGUGAUCAAUCAUUUAACAAAAAUAAAAACUAGGUUGUACUCCUAGUAGCCAUGUUAUUAUAUAGAGAGAUAUACAAAGGUUGCAUCGAGUCUAUGGUUGAAAACUUAUAUACAUAGGCAUUUAGAAAGAUAUAGACAAAGAAAAGGUUGAGGAAGAAUUUAUCGUCCUUUCGAUGCUUGUGAUGAAGUUCAGCGCGACCUCCCCAAUGCUUAAGCAUUGUGCUUAGGCAUGGAAGAAGAAGAUGAUGCUUUUUGUGGUUGUUGAAAUCCUUGUUCUUAGCGUCCGGAGCUUGUCUUUAUGCUUGUUCACUUUUGUCGCCUUUAUUGUCCUUCAAUUUCUUCUGUUUUCAUGAAAGCACUUCACCAUGCCUUCAAAACAAUUCAAAUGCACAAACUACCCCAAGGUGACUGUCGGGAGUAGAAGCAAUCACCAACAAACAAACAACAUCCCUAAGACAUUAACUUAUGGCAUAGCUAAUCUAGUAAAAUAAAAAUAAAAACCUAAUGGGUGUAUGUGAGUGCAAGUGUGAAUGCAAAUCAUAGGUAGGAAGAUAAACAAAGACAAUGUUUGCACCAAGUUCUAAGCACCAUGCUUACAACUAGGUUGCUAAAAUUUUUCAUAGCCAUAAAAAAAUUGUUAAUCAAAGUCAAACACCAUGAUUAUCCUAAGAUCAAUAACUCUUUCCAGCACAAGAAAAAUAGAGCGCAUUGCAAAGCUUAAAAACCAACCAAUGCAAUAUGGUGAUGAUAUAAAAAGCUAGCAAGGUUUAUUAAACUGAAUGAUGAUGGUUUGCAACCAAGUCUAAACACCACAUUUACACAAGAUUGCAAAGGAAAAUGCCCUAGAAGCAUUAACAUAGAUAUGAAAACAUUCAUCAUAAAAUUUUUUAGGAGAAAGCCAAACUAACACAUGAAUGAUGGAACAAAUGCAAAUGCAAAUGCACAUGCAAAAGGGUUAGCAAAAGCAAAGGCUAGCAAGGUUGAAAAGACUAUCGAUGUUGUUUCACAAUUAGUUGAGUAAAAAAGAAUUGCUUAGAAUGACAAAGUAAGGCUAGCUACUUCAUAAGAAGUCAAGCAAUAUCAACAAGAAAAUCAUUCAUCGAAAAUCCCCAACAACCAAACUAACAAGGCUAAGGGUAGGUUUAUAGGUAUCCUAUAUUUUUGGCUUGGAAAAAGAAUUUUGAAGAGAGAAAUCAAGCAUAGAAAUUCUAACUAAGGAGGUUUUGAAAAACAUAAAGAAAAGAAAGGGCUUGUUUUUUUGAUGAAAAGCAAAAACCUAUGGUUUUAGGAUGGCUCUGGGUAAGGGUGUAGUCAGAACAGAGGCAAAAAUAACUCAGGUUGAUCUGAACGGUGCAACAAGCUGAUCAACACAACUUAAUCCAACCUCUGUUGGCUCUAGUUUUUGGCUGGAUUGAUAGGAAGGCUUAGGUGGAAAAAUAUUUUGAUAAAAACAAUAUGAAACUGCAAUGCAUCAUGAGGUGGAAGAACAAAAUGAUAUGACAUGAUGUGGAGGUGGUCUAAAACAAAAUAAAAAUUAGCCUAAAUUAACUAACCACAAGUUUAGAAUCAAAGGGUGGUGCCAUACUUCAUAUUUCUCUCUAAAAAGACACAAAGAAAAAGACUGUAAACACUAACAUCAUACAAAAAGGGUCUAUAAGUUUUCCAAGAUCAAGUAACAAAGUGCUCCCUCAAUAUUAUUUAAAGCAUACAACAUGUGGUUGCAAAAUUUGUUAGAGCAACGAUACAAUGUUACUUGAUGGUUUCGAUUAAAAAGCAUAAUAUAGACCAUCAUCUUAAUAAAGAAAGUAAAUAAAAAGAUGGGUUGCCUCCCGCAAAGUGCUUUAAUUAUAGUCAUAUAGCUAGACUCCUCACCUCAAUCAUGUUCAUGCGAAGCCAUGGUCCUUUGUGCAAGAAUCCAAAGUAUCCAUGCAGCUUGAUGUUCUCUUUUGUAAUCCUUCAUGGUUCUCUUCUAACACCUCUUUGUAUUGGAUGUAGCCUUCUUGUGUCUUCAAGUGCCAAUGCUCUAGUGAUUUUUAUUUUAUUCUAAGCUUUUGAAUUUGAUCAUGCACGCUUGAUGAAAGCAUUGCCCAAACUCCUCUUCAUUGUUCUCAUCACCUUGUUGCUGCCUCUUCUUCAUGGAUAUUCCCCUACAUCUAGAAUAGAACAUAUACUGAAAUAUAGCUCUAUUGAAAAGUUUAUGAAAUUACCUUUCCAAUGAGUGGUCAUUCAUCUAAAAUGAAGUUCAAAUGAGAGAGUUAUGCCCGUUUUAUUGUCAUUCAUCUAAAAUGGAAUUCAAAUGAGAGAGUUAUGCCCGUUUUAUUUUAGCACUGCGUGCUGUCCGGAACUGAUUUCAGAACGUGCAACGUUCGAUUAUUUGGCCAUAACUUCUUGUAGAAAUCUCCAAUUGCCUUGAUUCUUGAUUCGUUGGAACGUAGACUUCAUGGGCUUCUGAAUAUCCAAAAAUAUUGACGGCAACAAUAGCUUGUUGUGAAUUGAUCUGGAGAUGUUGAUGAUCUUGAUCUUGUGGUCUUUGGGGCAUUAUGUCUCAAAUCCUUUAACUUCAAGGUCAUCCCCAUUGCUGCACUAGCGAGUAGCAUGUCAGCAAUGAUGCAUCUUCUCCAUAAUUCUUGCUUUAUCAAAGGUGGCAGGAUCAGAGGAGGCUCUUGCGCUUUGUGUCGAUGAUCUGAGCAGUUUUCUUCCUUAAUUACAUCACUCAAUUAGAAGCUUUUUGAGCAUCCCACUGGAGAAGAUUGGUACUAUCAUGGUGCUUCUAAUCUUUUUGCCUCCAGUCUUGAUCAACUUCAAGUCAUCAUCUUUUGUGCAGAGAGACCCUCCAAUCAUUCGUCAACAUCAUCACCACCUUCUUCGUCAUUUGCUGCUGCCUCUUCUUCAUUGAAUUCCUCUACGUCAAGUAUAGAACAUGUACCAAAAUUCUACUCAAUUACAAAGUGCAUCAAAUUCCCUUUCCAACAAGUAGUCAUUCACCCAAAAUAGAUUUCGGAUGAAAGAGUUAUGCUAGUUUUACCGUGGCACUACGUUCUGUCCCGAGCUGAUUUCAGAACACGUAACAUUGAAAGAUUUUAUCAUCACUCCUUGUGCAGCUCUCCAAAAUUAGCAAUUCUUGAUGCGUUGCAAAGAAGACUUGAUGGAGCUUUUGAGUAUUCAAUUUUCCUUUGUUGUACAUAUCUGAUUGUAGGUAGAAAAUUGAUCACAACAGCAACAUUUGAGAUGUUGAUGAUCCAACUUAUAACUCUUUGGGCAUGACAUGACCUAUUACUUGAACAAAUAAAUCUCCAAAAAACAUUAGUCUUAAAAUAAUUAAUUGACACAACAUCAUAUUGUGUGGACUUGAUAGAAGAUGAUUGCCACUAGCAAAGUUAUUACCUACUGCUAAAGAGUCGAGUUUGAUGUUGUUAUCAUAUUAUCGGGGUGAAUCCAGACUUGAUGAAAGUCCAUAUUCGAUCAUCUGGCAUCAAGCAUUUACACUUGAUGUAGCACUGGCCCAAUCUUCUGAAAGGUAGUGAUAAAUUUGAUUGCUGGAGACUCGACGUUGACGAUCCGGGCUUCUAAUCAGACUCGAUUCGAAUCCCUACAACCGCUACACCACUACUCCAUUGGUUAUCAACCAAGCACAACUUGAUUGACCUCGCUGAGAAGGCUUUCUUUGCAAGCGAAACGAAGGACAUAAGAAAAAAAGUAUAAACACGCAAUCUGAUAUUGCAAAUAUGAAUGAAGUAAAGAAGGGUUCAAGCUCUCAAUUCGAAAGGACUAAUCCACACAGUCGAGGAGAAUAAGAAUAGGGGCCCUGGAUAACUGUAAAAGGACUUGUCGCCACAGUUACAACAAAUCAAUCUCAGUUUCUCGAAGAAAAACUAGAAAACAAAACCCAAACCCUAAUGUGGCGAUGGCUACUGAAUUUAUGAGGGUUAGGUCAUGGAGACCCCCUUGGACACGCCCCUAUGGGCUCCAACACGAUACACGGGCCAACGGCCCAAAAGAUAGUGGCGCAGCACCCUGACAGAUUCUGGAUGUCCACUUGUUUUGAUGAUUUCUGUUGACUCCAAUUGAAUUUUAAAGUGGGACUAGUGCCAUUGGAAGCUCCAUGAAAUUUUGUUUCCAUCCAUAUAAAGAAUGCCCAAAAUGGACACCGUAUGCGACCUAGGCAUCAUUUUUAGUACGUGCUGCUCUUGGACUCCGAGACAGGCUUGAACUUGAGUUGCUUUGGGCCUCCACCUCGGGGACUCAAACCGAAUUAGCCUCGGGCCUCCUUCUUGACUUGGACACCCUUGCUGACCUCCUUCCCCUCUAUACCAUGUGCCAAACAUGGUCGUAUGCAUGGGUGUCAUGUCCUCAUCAUCCUCCCCUUCUUGAUGAAAAGCCAUCCUCGGCGUCGAUUGUGCUUGAAACUGAUCCUGCACAACACAAAGGAGAACGGGGUUGCGAAGACAAAGGGAAUGAAAACAACUGUGAGGAGAGAUGUGACCAUGUUCCCAAUUGUGUAGUGUGUGAUCUUGCAGAAAACUUUCAGCAAGCGUGUAGGCUCCUUGAUUGAAAGACACACGAUGUUUGUCAAUACUAUCCUGCAAAAGAUUAGUACCAACAAAAGGCACAAUAGGAAUAGAUGAUUCAUUGCAAGAAAAUUCAGCACUAACAAGCAUAGGUAGCAGCCAGCAAUGCUCCCCUUCUUGGGAGACCAAAUUACUAGAGGAACAUGUGAAUAUAUUUGUAUGAUGGCUGCUCUCUAAUUGAUCACAAUCUUGCACAACAAAAGGAGAAUUCAUAUUGCUACGAAUAUAGACUCGAUGUAUCAUAUGCUGUCCUUUGUUAUCAUAUUUGCCAAUAACAUGAUAUGUGUGUUUGGCAAACCAAGGCAAUUCAGCAUAUUUAAAAAGUCUCUCUUCCGAACAAUCUAGAUUACACAAAUUAUCAAAUUCAAUAUAACCCAAAGUAUGCAAGGAAGACAACAGUUUUAGCUCAUAAUUGGCACUAGCAAUAUGCGUAACAUGUUUAUUUUCAGCACAAGUAUUUGGUUCCAAAACAUGUAACACUGAGGCAUUAUCAAAUAAUUCAUCUUUAUCACAAGGAACAUCAAGCACAUCAUCAUGUGACAAAGAUAAAUCAAGAGAUGGUUCCACUAACGAUUGCUCUAUAAUAGCAUGAUUGGUGGAAAAAUUUAGCACAUUAAAAUAAUUCUCACCUUCCGUGAGUGUAGCACCAUGGGCAUUACCUGUGUUUUCAUUCUCACCAGGAGUAAUAGGUGCACUGUGAAGUGAUGGUUCUGAAUUUGCACAUGAGGUUGGGAGCUACUCAUUUUCAUUUGCAUCAUCCUUGUCCUCUUGCUUUUGUUCAUAAUCCUGCAAAAGGUUAUGCAUAGCAAGAGAUACAACAAUGGAUUGAUCCUCUAAAUUAUGCACCUCAUCAUAUGAAUUCAAUGCAGGAGGUGGAUUAACAAAGGAUUCUCUCAUAAGAAUUUUCAUAUCAUUCCAAGUUUGAGGUUUAUCUGAAGGACGUAAAGAAUCCCACCAAGAUAAAGCAGAAUGUCACAAAACACUAGCUGCACUUUUUGCCUUCCUCCUUGGACAUAUGAAGCGAGUUGCAAAUAUGUUAUCUAUUGCAAUUUCCCACUCAAUGUACGCAUCAGCACCUAUACCAUCAUAUGUUGGUGGAUAUGAACAACCUAUCAUUGUUAGAAGAUAGCAAAAGACAACACCAAAGUAUUAUCCCUAUCAACUAGCAACUACUGGAUGGUGGUGAAAGUGGAAUGCAAUAUCACAAGCGGCUUACCACCAUCUUGCAAGUGUUCUUACCAAAGCCAAAUAGGGCGGUACAAUCAGUUGUCGAGCUUGAGGGUAACAGUUGCAAGGUGAACCUGUAUUGAUCAGAAGUAUGUAUGUGGACUAUAGGCAGGCUCAAUAUGGUAGCAAGGAAAAACAAUAAUUCAAUUCAAAAUUUGCAAGACUGAAAAGUAGUCCCAAGCUAGUCUAUGUCGCCGGCCUAAACUCGUCCUGGACUUAGUUCAAGCAAGCAACAAAACAACUCACCACAAGGACUCAAAGGAUGCAAGCACUUCUGAAUUUUUUUAUUCUUUUUUCCCUUCUUUCUUUCUUUCCUGUUUUUUUUGGUGCGGCUUUUUCUGCACUUUUUCAGCACCUCUUUGCCUUUUGCUUGUUUCUUUUUUAAUAUAACAGAAAGUGCCACAGAUGAUAUUACAAUUAAAAUACACAAGUUUGCACUUCAGCACAAAACGAAAGCCUUGUUGUCGACUAGCAACAAGGAAACCUAUGGCUCAGCUAUUUAUGGAAACAUGCAAGGACUAGCUGACACAACACAGAUCAAGCACAAAUAAACAGCAGGGAGCAAAAGAUUGUGACUCAGAUCGACAACAAUCUGGUGAAGUAUGUCUUGUGCACGGUGUCCUUGCCAAAAGAACUCGGACUCCAAAAUUGGAUAGCAAUAUUUUAGUCCAAUCGCUACAAAGAUCACUUAUCUUUCUUCCCUCACGUUGAUAAUACUUUCCUCUUUCUAACGCUAUAUACAACAAACAAGAACAACACUCGUUUGCCCAAAUACAAAUUGGCACCAAAAUUAUUAUGAGGAUAAAUCGACUAGGUGCCAAAACAAUUAAGCAAGACCUGAUACUAAAGACAAGAAUAAGACCUAGACACGACGAACACAAUGACACCGCGAGGGACCAAAAUUCAGAAAAGCAGAUCUGAAAAGAAAAAUUGUGGGGCACAAAUGGGGUUGUAGGACAGCGGAAUUGUUUUUUUGUAGGGUUUUUUGUGGACUAUAGGUAAUUGACAAAAACAAAUCUAAAGAGAUACAAAGGUGUAUACCACACGGGUAACCUGGAAUCCUGAUACCACUUGAUGUAGCACUGGUCCGAUCUUCCGAAAGGUAGUGAUAAAUUUGAUUGGUGGAGACUCAACGUUGAUGAUCCGGGCUUCUAAUUAGACAUGAUUCGAAUCCCUGCAACCGCUACACCGCUGCUCCGUUGGUUAUCAACUAAGCAUAACUUGAUUGACCUUGCCGAGAAGGCUUUCCCUGCAAGUAAAUUGAAGGACACAAGCAAGAAAGUAUAAACACGCAAUCUGAUAUUGCGAAUAUGAAUGAAGUAAAGAAGGGUUCAAUCUCUCAAUUCAAAAGGAGUAAUUGACAAAGUCAAGGAGAACAAGAACAUGGGCCCUGGAUCACUAUAAAAGGACUUGUCGCCACAGUUACAACGAAUCAAUCUUAGUUUCUCGAAGGAAAACUAGAACUAAACAAAAUUCAAACCCUAAUGUGGUGACGGAUACUGAAUUUAUAAGGGUUAGGUCAUGAACACCCCCCUGGACGCGCCCCUAUGGGCUCCAACAUGAUACACGGGCCAACGGCCCAAAAGACGGUGGCGCAGCACCCUGACAGAUUCUGGAUGUCCACUUGUUUUGACGAUUACUGUUGACUCUGAUCGAAUUUUAAGGUGGGACCAGUGCCAAUGGAAGUUGCAUGAUUUUAAGGUGGGACCAGUGCCAAUGGAAGCUGCAUGAAAUUAUGUUUCCAUCCAUAUAAAGAACGCCCAAAUUGGACACCGUAUGCGAUCUGGGCGUCAUUUUUAGUACGUGCUGCUCCUGGACUCCGAGAUGGGCUCGAACUUGAGUUGCUUUGGGCCUCCACCUCGGGGACUCGAACCGAAUUAGCCUUGGGCCUCCUCCUUGACUUGGACACCCUUGCUGGCCUCCUUCCCCUCUAUACCAUGUGCCAAACAUGGUUGUAUGCAUGGGUGUCAUGUCCUCAUCACUUCUUUCAAGGACGCAAACAAGAAAAACAUGAUAUAUGUAAUAAAAAAAUUAGGGUUAGUCUAAAAAAUUAGAUAGAUCGCCCCAGGGUUCGAGUUGCCGAUCCCCAGCAAUGGCGCCAAAAUAGUUUGUUGACGACAGUUAGUACGCCAAUUUGUGAACCGCAAGUGCAUGGAUCAUCGUAGCUUCUCCCUUAGAGUAUCCCAUCCAAGGUUUAUCAAUCCAUGGAUUAGCAGCGAACUGACUAGGAUUAUCUAUCUAGCUAAACGGAUCUAAUCCUAUCAUGAAGCAUGAAUUGCAUAUAAAGGUAAAUCCAAUCGAGAGAUAAGUAUUAUAGAUAGGGUAAAUAGAUCACACCCAUAUAUAUGAGGUAACACAAACAAAGAUAGCAUGAGCCUAUUGUCUUCUUGUUGUAUUCCAGCCAAAGUGGUAACCAACCUAUGUAGCACCUUGAUAAAGAGUCAUCUCUCAGAAAGGCAGCUCGAAAGCGGUCUACUUUCUUGUGGUCACCACUACGAGGUGUGUGUUAACACUUCCACUUUCCCAAAGCUUUACCUCAAAUGACUCCCACAAUACUCGCCAUCAGUCCUACUUAACAUUACGCAAUCAUUCGGCCUUUUCCCUCCCACAUGCUAUCACCACACGAAGGUAAUCACACUGACUUCCUACACACUACUAAGAUGUAUCCGCAAGGCAUAGACUAAUCACCACGAUUACAUCUAUUCCUACUAAGAACAUAUGCUAGCUUAACAUAUGAGAAUAAUCAUGCAUCAUAGUAGAUCAAAGUAAGCACAAGAUUAGAUUGAUAUCACCAUCGUGUGUACAUAAGCCUUAAUGAUCACAAGGCUCGGCUCCAGAACUCCACCAUGGCUUCACCGCGCAGGGACGACCAUGGUGGCUAGGGUCUAGCCUAAGCCAUCUCCUAGACAACCUUGAAGACUUGCAGCGACCCUCAACUUCGUCUGGUGUGUGUCCCUAUAUUCAUCAACUUCUGGUGCAUGGAUCAUGAAUUUUGGGCAUACUUAUAAUCUGGAGGACACGUGGCUGAAAUAGGAAGUCGAGGGGAGCAAGGAAAACCCCAAGCCGAUCGGCCUAGUGGGGUCCAGGCCGAUCGGCCUGACCCUUCCUUUUAUCUCCUCGCACCUAACUUCGUCGCCAAGUCCCCUCUGAUGUUCUGGUAGCUUAUUUUUAUAUGCAUGUGGGGUUGGCACAUCGAUAGCUUCGGGAUGAGAUUGAUCUUUGCUAACUUUCCAAAUCUCCACUUGAUUUUCUUUGAUUCCUCUUUGAUCCCGAAGAGAUACUUGCCAUAUCUUCACAAUCUUAGCCCUUAAGUAAUCUUGGAGGAGUGCUUGCCAAAAAUGAGCGUCGGAGGGGGCCAGAAGACCCUAGGCCGAUUGGCUUGGGCUUCACCAGGGCGAUCGGCCUGGGCUCUUUCUAACCCUGCUGGCCUUCAUCUCUGAUAGGUUCGUUGCUUGUUUAUGGAUUUAUCCAAAAAUAUGCUUUUAGGUCCAAUUUCCUGCAAAAACAGAAUUUCCUCCAAAAUAUAAUGCAUAUGCAACAAUGAGGUUAUUUUAGGUGUCAAGUGGCGGGUUAGUAUAAGAAUAUGUAUGAAAACACCACUUACAUGGCACUGAAAGUGUGUCAAUAAUGAGCAUCAAUAUAGGGGUGCCUCCCCUUUUUUUAGGGAGGCCAACCGACUUUUACAUAGCGAAUUUACCCCCACUCAACCACUACAUUCCUAGAAUAUGCUAUACAUUUUGGUAAAGAAAGAGUCCUAAUCCGAUUUGUACACUCCAACUGGAUCAUGCGAUUCACACCACCCUUCCCACGUCUUCAACAUGACUCUCCCCGCGAACACCUUCGCUGGAAGAAACCACGGCGGUCCUUGAGUUCAACUUCACGAUCCCAUUGACCUCACCUGUUGUCCAUUCCUGUAGACGUUGGGCACCUUUGCAUGGAAACCGAUAGCUCGAUUCGCCUGGAAACAUAGAAAAGAACAUUUGGCACCCUCGCAGCACAUUGCGAAGGUCAUGAUAUGGUGCGAAGGUGACAGAAGGUGUGAAGGUGAUGGCGUGAUGCGGAGGUUAAGUUUUUCCUAUUCCUAAGCGUGAGGGUGAAAUCCUUGAUCCAGAUCCCCAAUAGUAGCCCCUCGCGGGCGAGGUCCAACCCUUGAAAGAAAUCAUUUGAUCUUGAUCAAGGAUAAAAAACGUCUUCCCUCAUGUGCUGGAAAGGAAAUUGAUGUGAAGGUUACCGAAAAGUCGCUUUUGUCCCUGCUUUUUUAGCAUUGGGUGUGGUUAUGGAAGCGAUGCAUUUUGAUGCCUAUAAAAGGAGGGGGGGGGGGGAGGGGGGGGGGGUAACUUUUUGCUCAUUCUCGCACGCUGGGAGACCCUCACUACCUAUUUCUUAGCUACUUUGAGAUUUGUGUUUGCUAGAACACUUGUUCGUCUGGUUGUUGCGAAGGUAUACGCGCUGCUUCAACUUAUUUUAUUUAUUGUCCUAUUUUCUUGUUUUUUAUGGUUAAGGUUUGUUUUGUUUUGCUAGACUUUGAUGUGUUGAUUGUGGCUCACACAAAGCAAACUGCGAGGCUCAUGGAUCCCGAGGAGUUAGCUGCUGCCGGGGUAGAAGAUGCGGCGCAUGAUACAAAUGCAGUUGACGAUGAUUUGGGCGGAUCCCUUCACGCGCAUGAAGGUGAUGAUGUGUCUGGCGUGGAAUCAUUGGAUAGCAAAUUUGGUAAUUCUAGAAAUGAAGGUGAAGAAGAAGAAGAAGAUUUGGAGAAUGUCGAAGCUCAUGUCGAUGAGCUUGUUGCUGAAUGCCCCAAGACCUGUUUCUUUGAUUGUUCGUUGGUGACUCAAAGGGAUAUUGAUUUUUAUGUCGAGAAAGGCUACUUUGCUGCUGGCGAUUGUAGACCUCCGGACGAUGAGGAAAUUUCGAUUCCUAAGUGUCGGGCGUACUCCCCAGACCCACGAGUAGGCCUUAGACGGCCCACUAAGGGACGUACUCGGACAUGAUCAGAACAAGGAUGGGCGUAUCCUACUCGGACUAGUCUUGUAUGUUUAUGGAAAACUAUUCGGGCCGAUACCGAGUAGAACUCUAUAAUAGUACCCGGCUAGGACUCAGACUUGUAACCCUGCCCUCCCAUGUAUAUAAGGCCAGGCAGGGACCCCCCUCGAACAACAAUCCUCAGGACCAGAACAUACACCAAUACAAACCAACACACAGGACGUAGGGUAUUACACGAUCUAGUGGCCCGAACCUGUCUAAAUCGUGUUCCUUGCAUCACCAUUGAUUCCUUGACUCUCGACGACCCUUACCGCACAAAAGACCACCUAGGGUACACCUAGGAGGGUUGCCAGUCUAAAACACCGACAGCUGGCGCGCCAGGUAGGGGAACUCGUCAAGUUUCUCAACGCGAACUCAAUGGCGAAAGUCAUCAUCAGGCCCGUCUUCUUCAUCGAAGCCGGCACCACCUUCGUUUUCGGAUCCUGGCUUUGCGUCGCCAAAGGCUCGGGAUCGUUCCGGCGCCAGAUCGUUGACACUCAGGAGAAGAAACCUGAAGAAUUGACCAGAAAAAAAAUCAAGAUUUCAAAGUCAACAAGCUCAAGUUCGACUACGCGUCGAAUUCGACUUCGCCUCGGACUACUCCAACGUCUCGCUCAAGGCUCGGGCUCCACCAACCCCAGCACUCAGGUUUGGGCGAGGCGGAGCCUCCCUUCCAUAGGGUCAGGCUCCGCCGACCCCAGGCCUCGGGGUCGGGCGAGGCGGAGCUACCCUUCCAUAGGGUCGGGCUCCACUGACCCCAGGCCUCGGGGUCGGGCGAGGCGGAGCCUCCUUCGGGGUCGGGCGAGGUGGAGCUACCCUUCCACAGGGUCGGGCUCCGACGAUCCCAGGCCUCGGGGUCGGGCGAGGCGGAGUCUCGCUCAGGGGUCAGGCUCUCCUGACCCCAGGACUCGGGGUCGGACGAGGUGGAACUACUCCUCCGAAGGGUCCGGCGCUCCCGACCCCAGGACUCGGGGUCGGGCGAGGUGGACUUCCACUCAGGGUCGGGCGAGGCGGAGCUACUCCCUCAAAGGGUCGGGCUCAGCCGACCCCUGGACUCAGGGUUGGACUCGCUUCGGAUUCGGCGGCCCCAGUCAGCAUCCAAAUAGUCUCGACUUCAAGGCGGUUCCCGCACGGACUUCGCAAUGCGACAAAAGUCUACCAAGAUUUUCUUGCUCGAACCCGAGUUGAACUCGGGCAUGAUGAGGACGUUGACUCCGACUCAUCCUACUCACCAGAAAUACCAUUAUCUGGCCCAGCUCAAGGGUUGGUAAUAACUUCGACACCACAAGGCAGAUUCGUCCACUGGCCGGGAUUGCGACCAUCUUUCCUCGACCGUGACUAUGACUCGCGCCUCAUCGCUCAUAUAGACAACCUGCCAUAUCAAGAGGGCGUUCCACUCACGUCCAACCACGAAGAAAGCUAUACAGAGAUUGCUACAUCAAGUUCCGGAAGCUACUACCUGGACAGGGAGAUACUGGUUAUCACUCAGAAUAACAACCCGGGUACUAGCCAGAAUAGAACCCCCAGGCGACUAGCACAAGCCGACAACAUCUCUGACGAUGAGUCUACAGUCGACAAUGAAACUCCUGAACAGCGCAACCAACGAAGGGAGCGCAAUGCUACUCGAGCUGAGCGUCGACAAUCGAUGGCUACAAAUAUCCCUAUUACAAAUCUCGAACGGGCUUUUGACGCGGUCCAAGCUCAGGAGCACAACACUCCACUCACGGCUAUCACUUCAAUCAACAUUCUGACGACACUGAUGCCUCAAGAUAAGGAUAACGCAGCCACAGCUCAACUCGUACAGCGUGGCAACGGACUAAUCACACAACUCGCGGAGCAAGCUUACAAGCUACUCGACAAAGAAUCACCAAUCCCAUCCGUUCCUCGCAUUACAGACGGAAGCAGGAGGGCUGCAGAUAAAAAUGUCGUCCCACGAAACGAUGAUGUAGUCAACCAACCCCGGCAACACAGCAAAGGUCCAAGCAAGCAUAAAGCUCCUACUUAACAGAAGGAUGUGGGUGAAGCCAGCUGCACCAACUCGGUUAAAAGUGUUCGCCCUACUCGGAAGAACCGCGAGAUAUCCAACAUCAGCGAUCUACGAGAAAUCCUCAACAGUCGACGCGAACGGGAAGUCGACAGCUACAACCACUUUCCUGCUUUCACAAACCGGGUAAUGAAAACAAAAUUACCCGAAAAGUUUAAACCGACCGGCAUUACCAAGUACGAUGGCAAGCAAGAUCCAGUUCAAUGGCUACGCUGUUACUCACUAGCCGUCCAAGCAGCCGAGGGUAACAACGACACCAAAGUCAUUCAUUUCCCCAUAUGCAUGGAACCUGCACCAUUGACCUGGCUCGAGUCACUCAAACCCAAGUCCAUCGACUCUUGGGCAGACUUGACAAAGGCUUUUACCAACAAUUUCGCUGGCUCCAUGGCUAGACCAAGCAACAAGAUCGACUUACAACAGAUUAAGCAGAAAGAGGGCGAGACCCUGCGCGAUUAUCUGCGAUAGUUCUUUGAAAAGAAGGCUACCAUAGUUGACAUCUCCAAAGCAGACGUCAUCGAGUGUUUCCAAAACGGACUCUAUGAUCGACGGACAUACCAAGACUUCGGUCGCCGACAACCAGCUGAUGUCAAAGAACUCAAACUCAUGGUGCAACAGUGGGCUGAUGAAGAGGACAAAGAACGAGAAUGGUUCGGUUCCCACCGUAACCGCGGACGCGACAACACCCACAACAAUGACACAGAUAAAACUCGUCAUAACGAAGCUCAGAAUUCCUAUCUAGGUAAUCAUAAUCGCAAAAGGAAGCCCGACAACACUGUUGCUGCCAUGACCAGCUCCGGGAAAAAAGGACAGCGCAGAAACGACGACGGACCAACCUUCACGGAGCUACUCAAAAAGCAGUGCCCAUGGCACCCGACUAGCAAGCACUCCGCAUUGGACUGUUACAGCAUGCGCCAAGUCAUGCAAGACUUGCCAGCACCACCAACUCCUGAAGAGUACGCCAAAAAUAGAGACAAGGGUAAAAACAAAGCCCGCAACGAUGAAGAUGAGGACGACGAUUUCCAACCAGCCUCAAAAACCGUCAACGUCAUUUUUGGUGGCAUCCCUGGCACAGCAUCCAAGCGAGCCAACAAACUCGUACUCAGGGAGAUCAUGGCCAUCGAGCCGACUGACCCCACACCGCUAAAGUGGUCGGAAGUUCCAAUUUCUUUCAGCAGAAAGGAUCAAUGGACAAAAUUUUCAGAACCCGGCCGUUUUCCACUAGUCUUGGAUCCAGUCGUGGCAGGUGCAAAGUUAACCAAAGUACUCAUCGACGGCGGGAGCGGCCUCAACGUUAUCUUCGCCAAAACAUUAAGGAAAAUGUGCCUCGACGUCACGGACAUGCUUACUCCAAUGGAUUCACCUUUCUACGGCAUUGUGCCCGGAAACGCGGCCAUACCAUUGGGGCAAGUUGUCCUUCCCGUCACCUUCGGAACUAAGGAACAUUACCGCACCGAGUACAUCAGAUUCGAGGUCGCCGACUUUGAGACUUCUUAUCAUGCUAUACUCAGACGGCUAGCACUUGCCAAGUUUAUGGCCAUACCACACUAUGUCUACCUGGUACUCAAGAUGCCGGGCCCCAAAGGAGAGCUCACGCUACGAGGGGAUCUCCGGAGAUCCUACGAGUGCGACACCGAAGCUGUGGAAAUCGCUGUGACUACUCAAUCUCCUAGUCCCAUGCAGCAAGUCUUCACAGCUUCAAAGAAAUUCCAUCCAACUGAACUCGAGAUCCCGGAAAACAAGUCGGGCUCCACAAAGGUGAAACCUGCCAGUGAGCAAGACUUCAAAUCGAUCGACCUCCAGACUAGUGAUCCUUCCAAGACAGCCCUGAUCGGAACAGGGCUGGAUCCUAAAUAGGAAUUUGCGCUCGUCAGUUUCCUUCGGGCUAACCACGAUAUCUUCGCUUGGAAGCCGGCCGACAUGCCAGGUGUGCCCAAGGAACUGAUCGAGCAUUCCCUCAACAUCGAUCCCAAAGCUACUCCAAAAUGGCAACGACUACACCGGUUCACUCAGGACAGUUGAGACACCAUCAAAAAAGAGUUAGCCAAGCUACUCGCGGCAGGAUUCAUCAAGGAAGUCUUCCAUCCUGACUGGCUCGCCAAUCCUGUGCUUGUUCGUAAGAAAAACAACGAAUGGAGAAUGUGUGUUGACUACACCGACCUCAACAAACACUGCCCGAAAGAUCCUUUUGGGUUACCCAGGAUCGAUCAAGUGGUCGACUCCACCGCUGGGUGCGCCUUGCUAUGCUUCCUCGAUUGCUACUUCGGCUAUCAUCAGAUAAGCCUCAAAGAGGAAGAUCAAGCCAAAACAGCGUUCAUCACGCCCUUUGGAGCUUUCUGCUACAAAACAAUGUCCUUCGGACUCAAGAACGCAGGAGCAACUUACCAAAGGGCCAUACAGAUGUGCUUUGAAAAACAACUUCAUCGCAAUGUCGAAGCUUAUGUUGACGACGUCGUCGUCAAAACAAGACACCGGGAGGAACUCAUCGCCGACUUGGAGGAAACUUUCUCCAGUCUCCGCGCUUUCCGAUGGAAACUCAAUCCUACUAAGUGCGUCUUCGGAGUACCUUGCGGCAAACUACUCAGGUUCAUCAUUAGCCAUCGCGGCAUUGAGGCCAACCCUGAGAAGAUAUCUGCCAUCACAAACAUGCAGGCACCAGCCAGCAUUAAAGAUGUGCAGAAACUCACCGGCUGCAUUGCCACUCUCAACCGGUUCAUCUCGAGACUUGGAGAACGGGGCCUACCCUUCUUCAAGCUUCUCAAAUGCCAGGACAAGUUCAAAUGGACGGAAGAGGCAGAUCAGGCUUUCACACAACUCAAAGACUUUCUAUCAAAGCCUCCUGUACUCACCGCUCCCUCGCCGAUCGAAGACUUGCUCCUAUACAUCUCCGCUACUACUCAUGUCGUCAGUACGGCAAUAGUAGUCGAAAGGUCUGAACCGGGCCACGCUAACAAGGUCCAACGACCUGUCUACUUUGUCAGUGAAGUACUCUCGGACUCCAAAACUCGGUCUUCACCGAUACAAAAGCUAUUAUAUGCUAUUCUGCUCACCUCCUGGAAGCUGCGCUAUUACUUCCAAGAGCACAACAUCACAGUCAUCUCCGACUUCCCGCUUGGCGAAAUUCUCCAUAACAGAGAUGCCACGGGUAGAAUCUCCAAAUGGGCAGUCGAACUCGGAGCUCUUACUUUGAGCUUCAAGCCAAGGACUGCCAUCAAGUCUCAGGCUUUGGUCGACUUCAUAGUUGAGUGGACCGAAAAUCAAGUUCCUACUCCAGUCGAACGACCAGAGCAUUGGGUAAUGUACUUCGACGGAUCCCUCAAACUUGAAGGGGCCGACGCAGGCGUCUUACUCAUCUCCCCCAAGGGAGACCAACUCAAGUACGUGCUGCAGAUAUUCUGGGAAGCAUCCAAUAACGAAGCCGAGUACGAAGCACUGCUACACGGCCUUCGCCUUGCAAUCUCCCUCGGCAUCACAAGACUGCUGGUGUACGGCGACUCCCUAGUCGUCAUAAACUAGGUCAAUGACGAGUGGGACCGAAACAAGGACAACAUGGACGCUUACUGCAAAGAAGUCCGUAAACUGGAAAACAAAUUCUCCGGCUUGGAGUUCCAUCACAUCGUCCGCGACAACAACGUUGCCGCCGACGUCUUAUCCAAAAUGGGCUCAACUCGUGCAGAAGUUCCAGCAGGAAUUUUCGUACACGAACUACGCAAGCCAUCCAUACCUGAACAUGUCACACCGCCAGUAGUCCCGACUACUGACACCUCUCAAGAGAUCAUGAUGAUAGAAGUCGACUGGAGGACACCCUUCAUCGACUACAUCAAAGAUCACCAGCUACCAUCCGACAAGAAUAAAGCUGAGCAAAUCUCCCGACGAGUAAAGAAUUACGUUCUAGUCGAAGACAAGCUCUACAGGAAAGGUGCAUCAUCUGGAGUACUCAUGAAGUGCGUCACCAGAGAAGAUGGCCAAGAAAUCCUAGAAGAGAUUCACAGAGGGAUCUGCGGCAACCACGCCUCUUCGAGGACACUAGUCGGCAAGGCUUUCAGAGCAGGGUUCUACUGGCCAAUGACUCUGGCCGAUGCCAAGCAACUAGUCCAGAAGUGCAAAGGUUGUCAAUUUUUCACAAAACAGCAACAUGUGCCGGCUUACAAGCUAGUCACAAUACCUCCAACAUGGCCAUUUGCCUGCUGGGGGCUCGACAUGAUUGGCCCAUUACCAACUGCGCCAGGAGGAUUCAACAGAGUACUCGUGGCAAUUGACAAGUUCACCAAGUGGAUCGAGGUCAAACCAGUCACUUGCCCAAAGGCAGACCGAGUUCUCGACUUCUUGGAUGAAAUCGUACAUCGCUAUGGUUUUCCCAACAGGAUUAUCACAGAUCUCGGGUCAAACUUCAACAAUCAUGACUUCUGGGAAUAUUGCGAGAACAGCGGCAUCGACGUCCGCUAUGUCUCGGUUGCUCAUCCGCGAGCCAACGGUCAAGUCGAGCGUGCUAAUGGCAUGAUACUCGAUGCUCUGAAGAAACGACUACAUGACGUCAGCAAUACCAAAGGCGGCCGAUGGCUCAAAGAGUUACCCAAUGCCUUGUCGGGCCUACGUACCCAACCGUGCAAGACUACAGGACUAUCACCUUAUUUUCUGGUAUAUGGCUCAGAAGCCAUACUACCCGCCGACAUCAUGUGGCAAUCACCAUCCGUUGAACAAUACGACGAAGAGCUUGCAAUAGAAACGCGACGAACGGAUAUCGACAGUUUGGAAGAAACAAGAUGCGCAGCACUAGUGCAAUCUGCUAGAUACCUUGACGGGUUAAGGCGUUAUCACGACCGCAACGUCAAGGAAAGAUAUUUUAACUCGGGCGAUAUAGUCCUUAAGCAUAUUCAAGACACGUCAGGAUUACAUAAACUCAAUUCACCGUGGGAAGGUCCUUACAUCGUAUCAAAGGUUACAGGACUCGGAUCUUACAGACUCCAAGAGCUCUCAGGAGAACAGGUGCCAAACUCCUGGAAUAUAGAACACCUUUGUCGCUAUUACCCAUAGCAGCACUCGAGUACUCACUUCAAGGCAACUACUCGGGACGACUACUCGACUACCGACUUCAAGGGGUGUUCGCUUCAACGCGCUAUCAAUACAACAAGGAUCCUUGCCCUGAUACAAACUCUUCAUAUCAAUCUUUAUUGAAACAAGAGUACAUCAAGUUACAUACGAGUACAAAGACUCGGCUUAACAAAGACUACAAGCAACUGCCUACUGGCGGGCUGCAUUUAAGCCUCAGGAUUUUACUAUAUCACAAGGCCACUCAGGUCUGCCGACCGCAGGAAAGGCCCACACGCAAGGAAGCUGCGCAAAACGCAGCCGCGCCCAGGUAUCCUACCCAAGGCACCGCCAGGUACUCCAUCACCGCCAUCGCCUGGACAGCAGCGACGUCAAAUCCGGCAAGACGCGCCUAGAGGGAACCAAGGCUGCUCUUUUGCUAGCCUUGCGAAGCCCAUCUACUCUACGGCCGCACCUCCACCAUCUUUCAGAGCGGGAUGAAGACCGCGGCACUCAUCACCCAUCACUCGCUGCGAGUUCCAGCGCGUACUCCGCUGGAUCAGUAGCUGCAAGAUGAGGCACGCGACGAACCCUCCUACGAGGAGUCUUCUAGCAUCGCGGCUAUCCCUACGAGCGCAAGAGUCUGUGGAGGCAAGGUGGCCUUAAUCUACGAGGAAUCUUCUAGAACCGGUGCACUCUUUGAUGGCUCUCUAGAGUCAAACAGAAGCAAACGCAGGCAAUCCAUUGGUACUCAGAAGCUGAGUUGGCUCGCCCACCAGAUGGCCCUAUUUAUAGCUGAAAGCUCCAACUACCACCGGCCCAAGAGUUACUGUGCACCUGUGAUCAAUAAGCUUGACAACUCAUGACUCUGCCCAUGUGACUACUCUCAUGCCGCAACGGACAAGGGAGCACAGUACACCCGUGCAUCCACUAAGGACAAAGGAGCACAGUACACCCGUACAUCAACAAAGGACAGCCGAGUACAGUACACCCGUGUCCCUCAGAAGACGAGUACUCAAACAGCAUUACGACUACUCGACACUCGGGACUACUACAAGCCAAGCUUAGCCUACAUGACGGGGGCUUCGACUACUCCGACCCUAGGACUCGGGGUCGGGCGAGGCGGAGUUCCACCCUCGAAGGGUCGGGAGCCUCCAACCCCAGGACUCGGGGUCGGGCGAGGCGGAGUUCCACCCUCGAAGGGUCGAGCGCCCCCGACCCCAGGACUCGGGGUUGGGCGAGGCGGAGUUCCACCCUCGAAGGGUUGGGAGCCUCCAACCCCAGGACUCGGGGUCGGGCGAGGCGGAGUUCCACCCUCGAAGGGUCGAGCGCCCCCGACCCCAAGACUCGGGGUUGGGCGAGGCGGAGUUCCACCCUCGAAGGGUCGGGUGCAUCCGACCCCAGGACUCGGGGUCGGGCAAGGCGGAGCUACUCCCUCAAAGGGUCGGGCACACCAGAGUUGCAAUACUUCGGGAUUCAACAGCAUUUUUCGCAAGACAACGAACUCCAAAAUCCAAAAUCUUGAUAUUCAAAAGUAUCAACAUACUCGGUACAAGAACACGAGUACACACCAAAAGCUCAAAGUUCUUCUAAGGAGACGAACUCCGACAUCUUGGCUGCAAUGGGCUCCACUUCCUCGAGGUACUGCGCAUAUGCUUCCUCUGUGCAGUUGCGAGCCACGCCAUCACCAGCUGCCGCCAAGUCUGCCCUCGGGUAGUAGGACUUCACAACCGCAAGCACCUGUUUGCAAACAGUCUUGCAAAGUCCCUCUACUUUGCUCGGGGCAGCUCUUAGUCGCUCUACUAGCGAUUGCGGUCCUGCGCCUUCCUCCACGGGGGCUAUGGCAUUCACCAAAUCUUCGGCCGCUCUAGACAGCUCUUGGAGUUCGCCCCGAAGUCUUCCCAAGGUCUGGGCAUGAUCUCUACAUGCCACCAUGGCCAUGGCAAGCAUCACGCCAUUCUGCAUCUUUCGGUCCCGCUGAUGCUCGCACGCAGCUUGUGCUUCAGUGAGCGCGGCCCGAAGAUGUUCGGCUUCGUCUGCCACUCGGUCAUAAGCAUUCCUCCAAUCAAUAACUUGGUUUCUUGCAGACGCCUCCUGUUUCUUGAGCUCUACAAAGCAAAAGAACUCAGGCCACAGCCAACUACAGUUGGACACACCCAGAGUAGUCGCAAUGCUUACCUUGAUACUUCUUGUUCAAGGAUUUAUAGCGGCUCUCCAAUUUCUCCUGCAGAACGACAUGAUCCGCGCGUUCCACGGCAAAGGAUUUUGCCCCGACUUCAUCAACCCGAAGCGCUGCUCUCAGUCAGGCACAUUCCUGCUCCAGCUGAUGGUUUCUUUCCUGAAAGGAUCCGAGUACACUAUGGUGAGUUUCACGCUUCACGACUACUCGGGUCAUGCAGUAACAUCAGCAAUAUCUACCUGGACGCCCCGGAACACAUCCAUAGCCCUCUGGAGCUCCAAGUCAGAAGGCGGGCUGAGUACUGGCCUUUGGGUACUCUCCACAAGACGAGGAAUCGCACCCAGCGAAGCACCUACAACAUUCACCAUAUCAGCUACCGACUAUGAUUAUGAUAACAAACUAACAGGCGCUUACCUGGAGCAGUCGUCUGUCUUGAUUUCUCAACAACAGCCAGCGCUCUGCCAGAGGAUGAUGAUAGGCCGGCACUCCCCGAGCCUGAUGCAGCAGCGGGUUCCUCCACUGAGCGAACCACGUCUUAAAGCAUCGACAUAGUAGCUCCAAGACGGCCAUCAUCAACCUCGGGUAUUUCUUCAACAAUGAAGUCCUCCAGCGGAAUAGAUGUUGUAGUCAAAGAUUUCGGCACUAUCCCUGUCUCUACAGGAAUAGUUUCCUCUGCAUCUCUGCACCACAAAAGUGUUACUACAUGAGUUCAAGACAUUUCAACGUCAUUCAAAAAAGGAAAAGAAGACUCACCGGGUUGAACGUGGCGGCAGUCGCACACGCUUCCUCUCGGCGACAAGCGGCCGAGUAUUCGAAGUCGCGGGAACAGCCGCCGGCACCGUCUUCUCACCAAGACCUGCAAAAUCAAAGUCAAGACCAACAGUACUAUUCAAUUAAAAACAAUCGGAAGAGACAACGCUUACCACUGGCGAUCACAUUGGACAGCAAGGUGCCAGUUGCAAGUACUGGUGACACCUCCUUCGUUACUCUAGCAGGCAGCCCCAGAAUCGCCUGGUCGGCAAUGGGCGGCAUGGCAGCCGGAGGAGUUGACGCAGUUAACUCGGGGGCUACCACAAUUUCUAUUGAUGGUACCCUCUUUGGCACCGUGUCAACAACUGCAUCACCGACUUCAGGGUCGGACGCGGCUAUUUCCUCAGAGACAGCCUCAUCUACAGCCUUCGCGAACCAAGACAAGAUUCACCACAUCAAUAACGCAUUUCAAGGUCCUUAGUACCAAACAAGUUAUCGACUACAUACCUUGGUACCCCGAGACUUUUCAGUGGUUGAAGCAGACUUAGCCGCAGCCAUCUUGCGGAUUACUUUGCGUCUCUUGACAGGAGGAGAAGGCUCGUCCUCCGACUCCUCGACGACGGCUUCUGACUCUUCUUCCGACUGUGCCACAUAGCCGUCAAGAACUCGAGACUUCUAAACAACAAAUCGGUGUCAGCAACAAGAAUCCCAAGUCAAAGAAGAACAAGUCAGGAGGAAAAACUUACCACUUCUGGCUCAUACCAGGAUUCAUACUGACGAAGGGCUGCAGGGAUUACUGGUACUCCCUGAUAGUUCCUAAAAAACUUAGCCAGCAGCGCCUCCACGUCAUCGUCAGAUAUGUCCUCAGACAUACGCGAUGGAUCCUUCAGACCUCUGUACUCACUUCCCGGGUGAGCGCGUUUUUGAAGUGGAUGGACCCUUCUCUUCAGGAAGCUGGCUGCCAUGUUGAUCCCAGUCAGACCGAGUACCUUCAACUCGGUGAUCUGCUGCAUCUGGAGAUCAAGCUCGGGGGUGUCCUCGGGCUCACUUAUCCAAUUUUCCGCAUACUUGGGCAUGUGACCAGUCACCACAGGCAAGCGAGGAUCAUGGUUCCCGAUGUAGAACCUCCUUUUCUUCUAAUCCCCAUGGGAGUCGGUCAGAUUAUACUCAAUAUAUGCAUUCGAGUUCCUGAGUUGGAACCCGGCACCUCCAAAGACUUCCGUCCGCUGGGCACUCGGCUGAGGCUUGCAACGGAAAAGUUUCCUAAAUAGCUCGAGACUUGGAGGUACUCCCAGGAAAACUUCGCACAGAUGUACAAAUAUAGCCAUGUGCAGUACUCCAUUGGGAUUCAAGUGGACGAGCUGAAGAUUGUAGUACUCGAGAAUACCUCUGAAGAAGUUGGAGGUGGGCACGGCCAGUCCCCUCUCCAUGAAAUGAGCAAGCAUCAUCGUCUCGGUAGGAUGUUCCUCAAACUGCCACGCAUUGGGGAACACGAGGCGCCACUGCACGAUUUCCUUCGGCUGGAGGAGCUUGGCAUCAACUAGCGCUUGGACUGCUUCCUCCUUCAUCACUGAGUGUUGCCAAGUUGCCCCAGGUGGCGGCGGAGCUGUCUGGUUUGUCGGCCCCACCUUCGGCGCCUGCAGCACCAACUCCUUCCCCUUCUUGGAUCUGACCUUGCCCAUCGCCGGAGCCUUGCCUUGGAUCUUCUCGGGUUUCUUGCCCAUCUUCUUGGAGCGCAUCCGAUGGACUCAACCUCAAGUUAAGGAAGAGACUUCCUCUCGGAUCUAAGCGGCAAUGGCGGAGGCAGCGGCACUGGCGGCGGCGAAAAAGCGAGCGAAGGCGCAGAGGAGGAGGAAGAACAGAUCUAAUGCCCGUAUGGCGUCACAGCAACCGAAAAGGGCCUUUCCAGAUUUAUCUCUGCCGGCUCCGGAUUCAACGCGUCAGUUACGCAACGGACAGAUUAAAUCGCGUAUUAAUCGCAAUAAACACCCAACGGCUACUGCAUUCAACAGAUUGAUGACCACUUCAACGACAGGAAUCGCCUAAGUGCUCGGGGGCUGUGGGUACCGUACCCGUUGGUCAGUUUUAUCUUUUUCAAGAUCUCCGAGGGUAAAAUGGGCAAAAGCUGGUUUGACCCUAAGCCUAAUUCUUCGACUCAACCUAAGGCUCGGGGGCUACUCCAUAUGGAGUGCGAUUGACAUCGCACUACCAUAUAAAAAUUACUCGGGAUGGAGACAACUCGAAGCUGCAGAAAGAGUACCUUCCAGCCACGCGACAGUACUCGAGCACUUCAGUCUACAAAAACUACUCGGGUAGUGCCUGCAGUGCCCAAGACUAUGGCGCACGACUACAAAGUACUCGGGGGCUUGUCGGGCGUACUCCCCAGACCCACGAGUAGGCCUUAGACGGCCCACUAAGGGACGUACUCGGAUAUGAUCAGAACAAGGAUGGGCGUAUCCUACUCGGACUAGUCUUGUAUGUUUAUGGAAAACUACUCGGGCCGAUACCGAGUAGAACUCUGUAAUAGUACCCGGCUAGGACUCAGACUUGUAACCCUGCCCUCCCGUGUAUAUAAGGCCGGGCAGGGACCCCCCUCGAACAACAAUCCUCAGGACCAGAACAUACAUCAAUACAAACCAGCACACAGGACGUAGGGUAUUACGCGAUCUAGCAGCCCGAACCUGUCUAAAUCGUGUUCCUUGCGUCACCAUUGAUUCCUUGAUUCUCGACGACCCUUACCGCACAAAAGACCACCUAGGGUACCCCUAGGCGGGUUGCCGGUCUAAAACACCAACACUAAGACCAAGGAGACAAUAGUUUUCCAUGAUUUCUUUGUCGCUGGAUUGACAUUUCCUUUUGAGAAGGUUGUUUCAGAUAUCCUGAAGGCUUUCAAGCUUCGGUUGCACUAGCUGACUCCCAAUUCCAUUCCCCAUCUAUUGAAAUACAUAUGGAGUUGUCAUUUUUUUGGAGGUGAGGUUGAUGUUGAUUAUUUUUACCAUCAUUUUGAGUUGCACCAUCAAAAGAAAUGAUUUUUAGUUGGCAAAGAGGAGAUGGAGGCUCAAUGUGGAUGCUGCACAUUCCGAACUCACCAGAUUUGUGGAAGUUUAAUUCCCAUUGCUCUAACUCCUACUCAGAAGAAUCGGUGGGCUGACAAAUGGGAUUAUUACUAGUUCGAUUCCUGUUGUUACCGAUUAGAACAACGAAGGUAAACCUAUAUUUGAGUAUCCACUUGCUAGCAAGGUUGAGGACAUAGAUGCGGAUUAUUGUCCUCCAUUCUCUAAAAAGAGUUGGAAUUCUUCUGGCAGCAAUACUUACUAUCUUGCUAGCCAAAUCAUCACCACCCGAGAUGCCGUUGAAGAAUUUUUGGCUAUGGAAAUCUAGCCCUCAUGUCAUGGUUGGAGUCCCAAAAGUUUCUAUGAUAAUAAAGUUCCCAACAUGACCCUAUCUAUCAAGUUUCCUAAGUUUGGGGUUAAGAAACUUGAAGGGAUGACUGAUGAACAAAUAUUUGAAGAAAUUGAAAGGAAGGCAGUCUUGCUGAUUGGCAAUUAUUUGCAUAAAGAGCAUGAACAGGCUUUGAAAACUUUGAGGCACGGUGGCAGGAUUAACCAUGUUUUCAAUAAGAUGGGUGUUAGUUACGGUCCUCGUGCUCGCCCUAGUACUAUUAGCAAGAAAAUGAUUCCACCUAGGAAUAUUAGUUCUGAAGCUCCUGGUGCUAAAUCAAAAUCAACAAAGAAGAAGAAAACUUCCAAAAAAUUGCAUGACAUUCCAAAACCACCCGCAUUAAAGACCUGCAGCUCUUCCACUAUCUCCAGAUCCACGAAGGUAAAUAUACCACGCUGAAGAAAAGAAAACGUGAAUCUGAACUCGCCGUAGUGCCCAAACAACACAAGAUUGUGCCUAAAUUAUCGAUUGUUGCUAAAGAAUCACCCUCGCCUAAAGUUGCAGAAUCAUCCAGUGCUAAGACUGAUAAGCGAGAAACUUCUCAUAUAGAAAUUGAUUCCCAACAACGCCGAGCUCAAGAAUACUACCAGCGCAUGGAAGAAAAUAACUUUUCUCUUGAACAUUGAGAUGCCUAGAGCCUCUACUGAUGUUCAUGCCAGUAUGGUGGAUGUUUUAGAUGAAAAUGAUAGCUUGAUAUACUUGGAUGAUGAUGUUGCUAAAAUGGACAAAGGCAUUAUUGAGUCUAGUCGAGCUUUGAUGCCUGAGUCAGGUGGGGCUAAGCCUGUUGUUGAUUCUUUGGAGAAACUUCCAUUACCGUUAGCUCUGAUCGCUGCAGACCGAGUAAGCGAAAAUGAUGGAAUGUCUCCCCCACGAGAAGAAAACCAUGAAGUAGCUGCUAUGGCGAAAGAAUUUUCCUCUGCAACCUGUGAUGAAGGCUUUUCUUUCCCUAAGGUUCACGAAAUCUCCCCCUCUGCCAAGGAAAAAGGCAUUUUGUCUCCCUCUAGAGGUGAAUUAUUUUCAAACCACCCCUCAUUUUUUAUCAUGACUUACUUUGUUUCAUAUUUUAUAGUUUUGUUGACUUAAAAUGUGUGUAGAUGGUGACACAGCUAGUCAGACUUUAUUUUCAAUGAGUUGCCUUAGCUCCGAUGAGCUGAAAUUGAUUGGAGAUAUAAGGGCGUUUGAGGGAGACUCAAAUGAUCAGCAUACUUUCAAAGGGAUUCUCGAGGUGGAUUCUGGUGAGACUAAUAAUGGCAUCUGACCUUAUCAACUUUUCAAUCCUAAAGGUUAAAAAGCUUUUGAUGCACACUAUUAUUAACUCAGAACCUUGCUUGAUUAUGAUUUGACAUGAAUUUUUCUUUGUUACCCAUAAAAUUUGAAGCUAGCAUUCAAGGCUUCAGUGGUUUUUGGGUAUUUUACGAUGCGAAUAAAUCCGCAAGCGCAUGAACACCAUCGUAGCUUUCACCUCAGAGUACUCCAAGGGUAUUUAAUCCAAGGGAACAUGUGUGCACUAACUUUUAUUCAAGUCAAUCCAAGGACACACCAAGAUAGGUAGCGAGGGUAGAGAGGAUUCCUAAUCAUAGCACUAUAGAUGAGUUAAAGGUCGAUCUCUCGGGUUAGAAUACUUGCUUUGAGCACCGACUUACCCUAAAUGAGUCAGGUGCCUCCGGCAAUCAAGUCUACACUAUAUCCGAACGUGGAGGAUUAAGAAGGACCAAUAGGGCUGUCACCACAUACGGCCUACCUCUAUGGCCCGUGGGAUAUAAGGCAAAUGGAGGAUAACCCUUAGCCUAGACACCACGUCUAUGCUAUUGAUUACUACUGCAGUCUAAGUACGUCUAUGCACCCAUACCAUACUACAACACUCUGUAUAAAUAUAGAGCGACAAACCCGUGAGUAAGAGAACUGAUCUCACUUAUAUAUAAGUACUACUAGUGUAUACCGUAUCAAGGUCUCAAGGCAAACAUGAGAGCAUACAAGCUAAAACUAUGAUAGCAAGGGUAUAUGACUAGCAUACGAGCAUAUAAACCAAGCAUAUAAACAUAGCAAGGAUAAUAUACUACUCAUGCAUAUAAGAACCAAGUAUAACACUAUAGGAAGAAAUCACGAAUACGAACUUCCUUUACUCAAAGGAAGACAACAUCCAUAGAGGUACAAGCUAGGAGGAGAGUGCCGAUACCCCGGCACUCCUCCCUAACUACCCCUCACUCUCUCCCUACUCUAAGCACAAGCUAGGCAAGGCUUUGCCUUUGGAGUGGAGCUCUAACUCUCUUGGAUGGUGUUGUAUCCUUAAAUGAGGCCCCCUCUACUAUUUAUAGAGUGGAGGUGCGUUGGGAGAGUGGAGAUGCUCCAAGCAUCUCAAAGGAAUCUUAAGGGAAUAUUCUCCUCCAACUCUUCUCCUUGUGUCACCUAGCAGGAUCCAAGGCUUUGAGGCGGUAACUCGUGGUGAAACGGUCAUAAUUGCCUUUAGAAAGUCACCAGGAGUCGCCAUGUGGAAGAUGGGCAUGAGGGGUGCCACCACUAGUUCGGUCGAACUAGGGCACCACCUUUCCUGUAGGAUGCUGCCUGGUGGGCCCUCGAGUCGGUGUAGGGUGCAUGUGCCAAAUUAAGGCGGUUUACCCCCUGAUGUGGGCCCAUGGAUCCGUGUGCUCUUCCCUAAUUGGCUAGAGUUGUGUUUCUUUUCCUCUUGGGUGUGUUUCCUCCUCCUUUCUAAGGAUAAGUUACCUGCAUACAAAUAUUAACCAACACUUGUGGAAAUGGUUAGUAAUAAACCCCUACCACUAGUUUGAUGUUGAUCUUUUCGAUAUUUAUGGAGGAGUUGACGGCCUAGAAUUGAUACUUAAGAGCCGUCAACAGUGGUCUUGAACUUUGCACCUUGAUGACAACGUAUGCAUGAAAGGUGUCAUUGCUGGGAAACUCGGUUGCCAUAGAGUUUUUGACAAAGUAGAAGACCUUCGUAUUGAGAAUGAAGAUCUUAAAUCCAAGGUUCAGAAGCUUAAAGAUCAUCGAGCCCAAAUGGAAACUAACGACAAGGAUCUUUCUGCUGAGGUUAAGACUUUGGCGAAUCGAAAUCAAUAGCAAGAAGAAGCUCAAAUAAAUCUUCACGCCACUGUUGAGAAAGAUGCGGAAUGCUAUGAACAAAUUCGCAAGGAACUUGAGACAACUGAGAUGAAUGCAACCGCACAAGCCAAGACUUGGUUGCUAAAUAAAAGAUUAUUUCUGAGCUAAGGCAAGUUAACCUUUCUUAGGAGAAAGUUUUGGAGGAGAAUGAGUCUAAGAUCUGGCAGUGUGGUUUGCAUGUCAAUCACCAAUAUCACGACACUUUAAAUCAAUUUGGUACGAAACCACAACAUUUCCCCGAAAGAAGUGAUUCUGGCAAAUUCUUUUAGUGGCUGCAAGAUGAAUUGAAAUUCUUUCCUAGAAUUUGUCAAAGGUUGGAGAUUAUGGUGCAGUUGUGAGCACCAGAUCCUUGCUUCAAAUGCUGGAGUACAAAGGUUGCGAACAUUUCAAGAGGCUAGGUUCUCGUGGCUACAAAUUCCCUACUUAUUCAGAUAUUCCAACCCCUAGCCGGAAUGUAGAUGCCAUGUCUAAACUUUUUGUCAAGGAGUUUUGGAUUAAAAGUGGUCACGAGGGUGCUCGUAAAACGGCUGCUGAUCGCCUUGCGAAGGUGUUUUUCUAUCUUUAGUCUUUCUCAUAAUCUUGAAAAUGAUGGAAAUACAUUUUGAUGCUAUGAGGUUAUUUCCUCAUAGUUUUAUCUUGGCCAGGAAAAACAAACAAUGGAGACUCGUAGGCUUCAAGCUAUUCAUGUGAUUUAGCUACUCUAGGCCCGUAUGCUCCUCCUCGCCAACCAUUAAUUCAAGAGCCCAGCCAACAAUCGGUUGCUGCGGAGGUGGUGCCCUCAGCGUCUACUACUCCUGAAUUUAUGAAGCCGACAACAUCACGUGCUCCCAAUGUGCCUCAGGGUUCUCAGCUCCAAGAUCCGUUAAUACAUGAUGCUCGACCUCAAGCUCUGCCCAACUGAGGAGGAACCGAAGGUGUAAAGCUUGCUUCUAAUUGAAAACCUAGUUGCUGGAUGAAAAGAUUCGAACUUAUUUUGUUGUAAAAAUUAACUAUGGAGCAAGUUCAAUGUGAUGGAACUGUGUGUGAUGUAGUUCCCAAAACAUUCUACCAAGAAGGCUUAUGCAUCAUCGGCUAUUCUUGGACGGUUUAUCAUGCUAAGUAUCCAGAUAAAUCCUUUGAAGAUUUUUGGUAUUUUUGUUGUUCUUAUUAUCCAUCACGUAGCUAUGCACUUUGUCAUUUGCUCGAUUCUAGUGGUGGUGAUCGGGUUAGUAGAUCCCAGGCUGCUGUUGAUGCUCAUUAUUGACACAGUUUUACCCCUGUUUAUGUUCAAUAUUGGCAUAGAAAUGAUAUCAUAACUAUUGAUCAUACUCAAUAAUCUAGACAUUUUCGCAUAUGUAUUGUAUUUUGGAGGACAUUCUAUUUUCGCCGGAAAUUGGACUUAAUUGGAGCAUAAUUGGAUGAGGCUCAGGACAAACAAUGAACCAGAUGAAGAUGAAGGCCAAUAGGCUAAGAAAGAGCCUGGGCCGAUCGACCUAUAGAGGCCUAGGCCGAUCGGCCUAGGGUGCUCAUUCUUGGCGAGCACUCCUCCAAGAAGAUUUAGCGGCUAAGUUUCACAAGAUAUGGCAAGUUCACUUUGGGAUCAAAUAUGGAAGCAAGCAGGACUUUGGAAAGAUAUCAAGAUAUAUACUUAUCCCGAGGCUAUCGACGUGCCAAGCCUACAUGCAAGUAAAGAUAAGUUUCCUAAACAUCAGAGAAGACUUGGUGAUGAAGCUAGACGUGAGAGGGUAAAAGGAAGGGUGAGGCUGAUCGCCCUGGACUCCCCUAGGCCGAUCGGCCCAGCCCUUUCCUUCACCCGUUCGUCUUCCAGUUUAAACCACAGGUCCUCCAGACUAUAAAUACCCCAAUAUUUCAUCAAGCACCAGCAUUGGAGAGAAGAUUCAAAAUAGAAGAAGUCGAGGAACUUGAGGGACAACCAUAUACAAAGAGCUUAGGGCCGUGCAGUUGUCCGGAGGCUAGCUUAGGCUAGGCUCUAGCCAACGUGAUCACCCUGUGAGCACUACAAGAAAUGUGUUAAUCUAUGAUGAAAAUUUUAUGCAUAUUUGUUCUAGUCAUAGAUCUAUGAUAUUUCUAGCUGAAAACAUCAUAAAGUUUCACAUCCGAGCAAAUUUAGUGACAAAGUUACGAAACGUCAUAACAGUUGCCACUAUAGCCAAAAAGAAAUGGUCACUAGCUGUUACAUAGUGGUUUUGUGAUGAUAUAAGCUCCACGAAAAUGUCAUAAACCAACUAGGAUCCCACGUGCAAGUUUAAGCUGAUAAAUAGGGUAGUAAAAGAAAAAGGAAGAUGUGCUCCUCUCGUGGGUCAAACCUGUUUCCGAUCGAAUGGGAAGUCUUUACUGUGACUGGGUCCCACAUGUAAGUUUCAGGUGAGUCUUUACCGAUCGAAUGGCUGGCACCACGCUUUGCUAGCUUCGCAAAGACUUCCACUACCCAAAUCUGCAAUGGCCCGCGGUGGGAAUGGCGCAUCCUAGCGGCGACAGGAGGAUGAUUGCGCAAUCUAGCUGCGACGGGAGGAUGAGGAGCCACGAUGAGGUCGGUCCCCUGGUUUGAGCCGCUACUUUCCCCUAUCGUCCUAGGGAAUGAGAUUUCUAGAUUUGGGGGUCUAGGUUGAACAUACUAGAUUCCAGUUUCGUCGUACCCUUAGAUUUGCAUUCCGAUUGGUGUUAGAAGUUGUAGACUAUAGUUUAUGAAGUGCAAAACUAAACAUUGAUUUCAAGUUACAAUGACUUUCAUGAUGAAAUUAGUAUUUAAUUUGGAUCGUAUUAUGGAUUGUUAGGUUCUUGUAUUUUACUAGCUUCUAGAGGUGCUUGAUGUCAUUGGUAGCGGCACAUCGGGGCCUCCUACGAUGAUCUUAUCGUUGUGGAUCCUGUAAACAAGUGCGAGCACGGGUAUGGUCUCCUUGUGAGGUAUAAUUGGACAUUUGACAACCCUGGGCGCCGGUAUGCAUCCUGUAGAGAGGUAAAUAAUAACUCGUUUCAAUUCUAAUAAACCUUGCUUGUACUCUUGAUGUUAGUGUUGUAAAUGGAGAAUUGUAUGAGUGUAAUCGGUCUCUGCAGCAUGAAGGGCUGAAAUGCACGUUGUUUAUGUGGGUUGAUCCUAAAUGGGAUGUUAAGACUAAAGGUAUUCUGAUAAAGUUGAUGAAGAGGAAGGCAAAAGCCGAAGAGGAAGCAAGGUCAUGGAAGGAAGAAUGCACAAAGGCUAACAUGAAGCUUGAAGCGACUGCCGUUGAGCUGCAGAAGGUGAAGGGACACCUGGAACAUGCCACCAAUCGUUGUUGCUGUGAUGUACUAUCUGGCAAAUUAGGAUAAGUAAGAACAAUGAUUAUGAACUCUAUAGUGAUGAAUGGCUAUGACAUGCAAUCUAAUUAUGCUGCUUUGGUUUAAUCUCCUUCUAAUUUGAUUCCAGCAUAUUUACCAUUUAGAAUUCAGAUACGCUGCAUAAUUGAGGAACACUAAUAAUAUAGAUAUUGGUAGUAUAUAUACAAAUGCGUUGUGUGAUAAUACAACACGCGGCUGAGAUAAUAAAAUAUGGCAGGGUCCCACAACUUAGUAUGAGAUAGAAAAGGAAGAAAAAAUAAAAAGGUAAUAGUGUCCACAACAGGGAUUGAACCUGCGACGACCUCUUUAUUCUGAAGAGUCAACACUACCACUAAGACAUAAUGCAGUUUAUGGUUUUUGAACAAGGCAGCUUCUUUAUAUUACAGUUCUAAUAAGUGUGGCCCACUUCCCAGUUGCAGGCUAGAGCAAUGGGUAUAUCUGCAACGGUGUACACUGCAAGGGACUCGCCAGCACGCUCCUGUUGGUUGUGGCAAAGACUUGAGCCUAGAGGCGUCGGUGCACAGAUCUGCAACGGGUAGCGGGAAUGGUGCAUCCUAGCAGCAAAGGGAGGAGUAGGAGCUACGGUCAGGUCAGUCCCCUAUUUUGUGCCGCUACUUUCCCCUUUUGUCAGAGGGAAGGGGAUUUUUGGAAUUGGGGAUUUCAGUUGAAGGCAGUAGAUUCUGAUUUCGUCCUACCCUUAGGUUUGUAUUCCGAUUGGUGUUAGAAGUUGAUAGGCUAUAGUUUAUGAAGUGCAAAACUAAACAUUGAUUUCAAGUUAGAAUGACUUUUAUGGAGCAUCCGAGUAUUCCAUCAUCUUCUUCCGUUGGUAGCUACUACUUGGAGACAUUUUCCUGCAACACUACCCAUUGGCAUCCUGAAAACAAGAGCGAUCACAGGUUGAGAGCUGUGGUGAAGUAUUCUUGGACCCUUCUCAACCCUGGCCGCCAAUUUGCUUGCCGCACAAAGCUAAUGGCUACCUGCUUCACAGAGAUUUUGGUUUUGUGGUUUCAUGUUACAGUUGUCAAUGACGAUUUGAAAAGGGGCAUUUAAUUUGUAGGAAGAAAAAAAGCAAUGUGGUUACAUAAUCCGGGUUGAUCUAGAAUGGGAUGAUAGGGACUUUGGUGUUCUGGUGAAGCUUGUGAAGAAGAAGGUGCAAGCUAAAGAGGAAGCAAAGAAGUGGGAGGAAGAAUUGGAAAAAGCUAACUGUGAGCUUAGAGAGAUUAGGAAUGAGCUCAAGAUGGUGCGCCAACAACUUCAGAAGGCUACAUCCGAGCUGAAGUUAAUUGGGAAUUAUAGGCACAAUGUCAAACUCAUGCACAUGCUGCUUGCUUUAUUUGUUGUUGUCGUGGGAUUGAUGCUUGGUGGCAAGACUAAUUAAGUAGAUGGUUCAGAGGUGAGAUGGUGCUCUUAUAUUUUGGUAGCUAAUGGUACUUAGAGUGAAAGUACCAUAGGAUUGCCUUAUGUUUAUGAACAUUUUCCCGAUGAUGUAUUCUGCAAGUGUCACUUUGGUUAUGUUGCCUUAUGUUUCUGAACAUUGUGCCGAUGAUGUACUGUCAAUCUUGCCAAUCUCAUUGCAUGAUUUCAUUUUGUUGUUUCCAAGACUGCCACAUCAAAAGAUAAAAAUGAAACCAUGGAUGAAACUCUGGGUCUGCUUGGUUGUCUUGCCCAAGCUUUCCCACUAGCCUUGUUUGCCAAGACUUGGCAAGACAAUCCUUGAUAGGUGGGGAGAGCAAUGGUGGAGCCCGUACAUAAUAAGCGAUAAAAAAUUUUGCUGACGUACGGUUUCGAACACUCAAAGUUACCCUGUCGCACGGUUUCGAACAAUAAAAUAAUAAGCGAACAAAAAAUUUCCACCACUAUGCUACUCAAAUGUUUUCGACUAACUCCACGCUCUUAAUAUUUUAGUCUGGCCUAUUUACUUUUUCGACAAUGGAAAUUCCUUCUAGAUUUACCAAUAAUCAUAACCAAUUGCAUUCAGAUCGAAUAUUCGAUGCCACGGGCUCCGGCGGUUGUCGUACUGGUUCCUGUUAUUGCACGUUCUUCAAGGAGCCGGUUGCCAUCCUCGAGAGAUGCUGGUUGCCUAGCUUCCCAGGGAAGCCGGCGCAACUUUCGAUGGAAGGUGAGGAACUCCUUAUUUAAUUGCCAUUUCCCCCACCAUCGACAUCGUCGCUAGUUCCACUACAAUCUUGUCCCCGACGCGCGCGCCUCACCUCAGCAGCCCAGCUGACACCAUUAUCCAUCUCUCCCUUGGCCUUUGCCUCCUCCGGCUCCCCGUCGUGCCACCUCUCCCACACUGCCCCCCCCCCCCCCGCGCGCGCAUCGAGCGAUCCUCCGGUGUCUCCUCAUUGUCGCGCUCCCUUGGCGGGUUGUUGCCACGCUAUCGCCAUGCCGCCGCCCGCAACUUCACAGCAACACUAUGGUGCAACGUCCACGUGGUGGGGUCAUCCUGCUAUGGCAGCGCUUCCAUGUCGGGAUCCUACUCUGACGCUGGCAACCUCGGGUGGCCAUUACACUCGUCGUCGGGUUCGCGCUCCACCACCGUCGACCUCAACCCACCGUCGCUCGCGAAUGGUUGCCGCGAAGCCGCUGGGAGCUCCUCGGUGCGUUGGCAGCCUCCUUCGGUGGUGGGGCGGCUUCCUCCAGUCCUGCACCCUCGUCGCCACCUUGGAAGUUGACCUUGAUGGUAACCCUUCCAGCUGAUGUGUUCGACUCUGACUCCGACUCCGACUCCCUGACUGAGACGGACUCAUCUGAUGACCGUCGCCGUGGCUAUCGCAUGCCCUUCCCCCGGGGUGACUGUUGACGGACGUUAAGUACCAAAUAUGACCAUCAAUAUACUCAAGAAUAAAGGAGGAUUGGCAUUUCUUACACGCAUAUUUAGUUUCAAAUAAUGUAGUUCCACCUGUCCUUGGAGAAUAUUUAGUUGCAGGUGAAAUUGUUGUGACCCUUAGCGAGAAACUUCUCAUACUCCUAUGAUCAAGAUCAUGUACACACCACCACCAUAUGCUAAAGUUCUACACUGGAAGUUAGCAAUCAUCAUUUCAUCCAUCCAUAAAAUAUAGCUCCAUGUAGUUCUAUGACCUCUCUCUCCAAAGUUAUCCUUGCAAAAGAAACUUGGGCUAUGCAAAAAGAAAUAAAAUGCAUGCUCCUGAAAGCAUGAUGAAAAAAAAGAGAUAACACAUGUCUCAAAAGAAAGAAAGCAAGGAGAGAAAAGGAUCAUACAAAAAAAGGAGUCCAUACACCAUCCACCAUAUUGACCAUCCACACACAUGCACAUCUUGAUGAGGUUGUAUGACUUGCUUCUCCAAAGGAUCCUGUCUUUGACUUAGCAAUAUAUGAGGAAUAGGUAUGCCUUCAUUCUUCCCUACUCCACAUAUAAGCCUAUUAGGAGUAUGUUGUGAAAGAAAGGCAAUCCUAAGCCUAGGUGAGGAAUCAUACACAUUGAGUGAUCUAAGAGUAUCAUUUGAGGAACUUUGAUUUCUUUUGAAAAACUUUGCAAAACCUCCGUAUUGACCGCUGAUCAAAGGAUGAGUGAACGGUGCUCUAUAGAACCAUUAUAUCUCUCAACCACCCAAGACAAGGUGAAGCUACAUGCCCCACAUAAGUAAGGUAAGAGAUAAGAUCAAUGCCCCACAGAAGUAAGGUAAGAGAUAAGAUCAAUGCCAACUUAUUCAAUUCUUGGUAGAAUAUUUUGUUGUAGCCUUGGCACAAGUUAGGAAUACAACAUAGUAGCAACUCUUGAUCAACCAACCUAAGUCUUAGUAUUUGCUCGAGACGAGCAAAGGGCUAGCUUGGGGGAGUUGUUGACGGUCAUUAGGUACCAAAUAUGACCGUCAAUAUACUAAAGAAUAAAGGAGGAUUGACAUUUUUUACACGCAUAUUUAGUUUCAGAUAAUGUAGUUCCACUUGUCCUUGGAGAAUAUUUGGUUGCAGGUGAAUAAGCACAAAAGGAUGGAGAAAACACCCUCUAUGGAUCCAAGAAACAUGCUUCUGACCAAUGGGAGGUUGCCAUAUGUGCAUCCCAUAGAUUGAAGGGCCCACAUACUAACACAACUGCCUCAAUCCACCGGAUAACGCACCCAACCACCAUUGGGAUACACCAAGCAGUCACCUAGAGAAAGGUGGUUGCCAAGGGGGCCCACAAGGGGUCGGCCGAACUAGGGGUUCAGCCGAACCGCCCUUGUCCCCUCAUCUCCAGCUUCCACGUGACGGCGGCUUAGGUCGGUUAGGGGAUAUUCCUUGAAGAUUCCCUCGCAGAACCGCCUCUUGUAGCCUAUAAAUAUGAGGGGAGGGGCUCCAUUCUAGGACACACACAACUAGUGAUUCACUUUCUCCCUCUUAGUUUCCAAGUUAUUGGAGUUAGGCUAGAGUAGCUCUACUUUAGGUUUCAUGUCUCCUUAGAGUCUAGGGUAUGACUAUUGUAUCUUUUAUUCCUAGGUUGACUUUAUUCUAUUCAAAGUAUACAUCUUUUUUAUAUAGUGUUGUUCUUGGUUCUUAUAUGCAUGAGUUAGAUAUGUACCCUUGCUAUGUUGAUGUGCUAGGCUUAUACGCUCGUAUGCUAGUCGUAUACCCUUGCUAUCAUAAUAUAGGCUUAUAUACGCCCAUGCAUGCCUUGAGACCAUGCUUCAGUACAUACUCUGUGGGCACAUAUACCUUGUAUAGCUUAGUUGAUCUAUGCUACAACAUCGGUUCAAUGGCCAUUUUUAUGGUGGCUUCAGCUAUUGAUACAAUACCCUAGUAUGGCUGGAGUGUUGUUAACAAUGCAAGGAUGGUGCUUGGAUUGCUUAGCUUCAUUUGAUAUGAGUUUGCCCCAUGGGUCAUAGAGGUAGGCCGCAGGUGGUGACAACCCUGUUGGUCCUUUGUAAUCCUUCACGUUCCGGUAUGCUGUAGGAGUUCGUAAAUUAGUAGUAACUUUGCUAGGCGAAACCAGUACGGGUGUAUAGGCCUGAGUUCUAUACAAUGUGUAUGUAUGUUAUGUCUGUAUGAUCAGUGCAUUAUAAAGGAAGUACAUAUGAACCUAGAGCUAACUCUUAGUCCUUCUCCCUAGCUUAGUUGUCUUGAGAUGAAUCAUGUGUGUGUCACACUAUCUAUCUAAUAUCUUACCCCUACCUUGAGUAUUAUCUCUAUCUGUCUAUGGUAUACUCGUAUGCAUAUUAAACUCUUUUGACCUACCCACCUUCCUUUGGGAAAUACGAUACCCUUGGGAAUAAUCUUGGGUGAAAUGCUACAACGGUAUAUCCGCGCGCUUGCGGAUUUAUUCAUGAUCGUUAAAUAUACCAACAGUGAUGCUCUGCGCAUCUUCCGCCGCACUGACAACACCUUCACAUGCCCCGUCUGCCCCGGCACGAGGCAUUGGUGGAGGAUCCUAAAUGAGAUCAAGGACCACGUCCUGGGGAUGGCAAAGUCCAUGCCCCUGAGGGGUGAGAACAAGAAGUGGAGCCGCCACUGCGUCGUGGCCCAGAACGAGGGGUGGAUGGAGUGAGCAAGCCCUGCUGGUGGAACAUCAAUGCUGUUAUCUUUGCUAUGAUGUUAAUUAGUAACUUUAGAUUUCAUUGGAACUCUAUCCAUCUUUGCUAUGUUGUUGUCUUUGUUUAUAAGAUCAAUGGAAAGAUCGAUCCCCUGUUUUCUAGUCUGAAGAUCAAUCCCCUUUUUUCCUGCUCUAUUUGCUCUGUGAUGGGACAUCAGCAAGAAUCUGUUCAUCUUCCUUGGUGCUUUGGUUUUCCCUAGUCAUGAUGCUGCAUCAUAGCCUGCCAUGCCAUUUCUUGUCAUGUGAUUAUUUAUUCUUAUCCCACCGCACCGCAACGGACUAGAAACAACAACUAUCUUGUACUAUGUAUUUAGAAACAAGUGACUAUCUUCCCUCAUUGGUUUUUUGAGUGGUUGAAAAUCAAUAUGUGACAAAACAUUUAGUUCUCCUGUUUACUUUUUCGACAACGGAUCAUACAUCUGUACGUCGCCAAGAAUCAUUAUUUACUUUGCCAAUUGAAUUGCAUGAUUUCAUUUUGCUGUUUGCAAGAGUUCAAUGCUUUUCCUAGGGAGAUUAAUUAGAUCGUUUAUCUUUGUUAUGCUGUUCUCCUACUCACAUAGCUCGAGAGGCCAAGAUAGUGCAUCAGUUUUUUCAAGAUUGAAAAUCAAUAUGAGACAAACAUUAACAAAGAAUGUAAUCCUAUUUGGCUCUCUUUCAAAACAAAGGAAAUCCUUGCUCACCUUUGCAAAAUUCAAACCAUUUUUCCAACAAAAGAUCAAACAUUUUGGUCCAUCCUAUUCACUUUUCCUCUAACGGAUCAUACGUCUAUACAUAUUUUUCCCAAAAAUUGUAACAAAUUCUAAUUUGUACCCAAGGAUUAACAUGGCAACCGUCCAUGUUCCAGCACCGUGUAAUAUCACAUCCUCCACAUCCAUGCAGCCAGUCUUCCUUGGUUCUUGUGUAGGCAUGGUUACUUGAAACCAAUUUAUGCUAUUCCCUUAUUUAAUUCCUAUUGGGUCGUUCUCCUACUCGCAUGCCCCCAGAAACAAAGAUGGAUCCAAUUUUAUGUUUCAUUUAAUGAGAAUGUAGUUGGAGUAGUGCAUCCGUUUUUUGAGAGAUUGAAAAUCAAUAUGGGAUGAUUAUUAAAAAAUAAUGUAAUCCUAUUUAGCUAUAUCUCAAAAGCAAGGAAAUCCUUGCUCACCUUGCCUAAAUUCAGACCAAGCAUCUUUUUCCCAAUAAAGGAUUGCAAAUGUUAGUAUGACCUAUUCAAUUUUUCUUCUUUUUUGAGCACUGCGCAGCCUCUCUGUCACUAUGAUGCAAUCACAGCUUUAGCCGACUACAUUCCAAGCUUCGCUGCGAUGACCUCAGGUUCAUAUCCGCCUACACAUCGCUCGGGGGCUUGAGGGAUAUGGGUACCCCAUGGGUCCCCACCGACUAGGAUAUUGGCCGGUCCUAACAAGUGGGCCCGCCAACCAGAACGUGCGGGCUAAGGACAUGAAGAUACUUGAAGCACAAGUCAAGGAGGCCGGGCGAUUCAGAUAAGCUCGGAUAUUGCUGGAUACAUAUUGUAAUCCAACUCAGAUCACGUUCGAUGUAACAACUGAGUAGAUUAGAUUCAAACCAACUUGUAACCCUAGGUCGUCAGCCUAUAUAAGGCGGCCAAGGGCACCUCCCGAGGGGAUCCCAGGAUCUGAACCAUUGAGCAAUACAAUCCACCAAAAUACAGGACAUAGGGUAUUACUCUCUGGAGGCCCGAACCUGUCUAAAACCCUUAUGCCCUCUUCGUGUUCUUGUGAUUACCUUCGAGUUCUUAGUUUUGCAAUCACCCUCACCUACAAAUCAACCACUUGAGUAACCCCCUGGUGGACUGCCGAGCUUAUAAAUCCGACACGGACCAUACGUCUGAUGAUGCUAAUAUAAUGCAUAAGAAGAACAUACAAAUCUUUCUUGCAUGGAUUACAAAAGGAUUAAGGUAGCAUAAACUUUCACAUAACAUCUUCAUGAUUUAUCUUGAAGUGAGAGCACUAACAAAAAA